rnacentral:lncRNA from 1 species
AAAUUGGCUAGGUGCCAAGGAUGGAAAUGGUAACACAUGUGAGUGUUACUUUACAAAAUGGUUUACCGUUCGAUGAGGACAUCGAACUUCGUCUAUGGGUGGUGGAGUUGUGAGACACAAAAUCCCUAGGCCCCAAAGUGGAGCCGGAAAGAGUGCCACGUGGUAGUGGCUGAAGCGAGAGCCAAACGAGCGUAACACGUUUGGACCAAAAGCUCCGACUUGAAAAGUCAAGAGCGGGAGUGGAACUCCCAACAAAGUGUUCAAGGAAUGAGCACGAAGCGAGCAAUAAGCGAGGCUCCAAAAAGGGACCCAAAGGGACCAACACAUGACACGUGGAAGUGUCCGAGAUGGACCCGAGUUGGAGUCCGAAGUGGAGUCCGAGUUGGAGUCCGAGAUGGUGUCCGAGAUGGUGUCCGAGAUGGAGUCCGAGAUGGAGUCCGAGGUGGAGUCUGAGAUGGAGUCCGAGAUGGAGUCCGAGGUGGAGUCCGAGGUGGAGUCCGAGGUGGAGUCCGAGGUGGACCCGAGAUGGACCCGAGAUGGAGUCCAAGGUGGAGUCCGAGGUGGACCCGAAAUGGACCCGAAAUGGAGUCCGAGAUGGAGUCCGAGAUGGACCCGAGAUGGGACCCGAGAUGGACCCGAGACAGAGUCCGAGGUGGACCCGAGACGGAGUCCGAGGUGGAGUCCGAGAUGGAGUCCGAGAUGGAGUCCGAGUUGGAGUCCGAGUUGGAGUCCAAGAUGGACCCGAGAUGGAGUCCAAAGUCGAGACCGGGACCGAGACCGAGACCGGGACCGAGACCGAGACCGAGACCGAGACCGAGAUCGGGACCGAGACCGAGACCGAGGCCGAGCCUAAGUCCAAGUCCGAGUCCGGAGCCUGAGAGGGUGAAAGCCCAAAGCGUUCGUCUCCCAGACCCUGGGGGGUUUGGUGAGCUCCAAAAGUAUAGUAGGGGGAGGACUGCAGUGGAGCCAGUUUGGCCAGGAAAGGCCAGUUUGGCCCAGGAAGGCCGGACCCAGUGUUGGGUGAUGAGCUGCUCACUGGGAAGUCCAAGACUAGAGUGAACACAGACCGACAAGCGGGGUAGCUUGGUGAAGUGUUCAAGAGCCGGCUCUAGUUCCCCCGGGAGAUCGACUGGCCGAUGCUCCCAGUCCAAGUGUGGGUGGCACUACCUACUUGGAUACCUGGUGUGGCUCAACGGAACCCGCUCUAAGCCCAUGGCUAGAGCACCCAAGGGCAGAAGGCGAGGAGAGUACCCAGGUGGCUCGCGUAAGGCCACGGUGUUCCGAAAUGUUGUCCCAAAGGCCCAGACUGUGGAAAGGAAGAGGAGCAGUCCUCUGAGGUAGUGACCAAGGACACAAUCGUGUGGUGAGGAAGUCCCAGAGGACCGUGGGACUUAGUGGCCGGGCCUGUGGGUCUCGAUCCAGUGGCAGUGUUGGCAAACACGGCCAGGGGCAGAAAGGGACUUAGUGGGGACUGACAGAGGGAUAUUGGGGAAGGCUAUUCCCCUUGUCGGUGGGCAUCCUAAGGAUGCUAAGGAGUGGAUCUGAGAUGACCACUCAUGGAUGGUUUGCCUAGUCUUGGAGAGCCAAGACGGUGAUGCAAGUGGUAUUGGACUACCAGUGUGGCAAAGGUGAUUGGGCAUGGCCUUAGCGUAACGGGCUGUUAUGUCGGUGAUACCUUUGAGUGUCGGUCGUGGGAUCGGACACGUGGAGCACUUGGACCAAGUGCAAAUGUUGAGUGGCAUGGAUACCAUUCUUGGGGCUAGCAAGUCCCAAGUCCUGGAUUGGACUUAUGGAGGUUGUGAAUGAGACUCCUCCAAGUGGUCAGAGGGGUGGUUAAGUGACUAAAGUAGAAUGGAAAAUUUAGUCGCUUACAGAUGCAAGCGUGAGCGCGAAUACGAAGCAAAAUGCAAAACCUAACCUCACACGCGCGAAAUGUCACAACGGUUGGUAAUCCCGCCAUGUCAUCAUUCCUCGGACUUGGGCGCCACCAUUAAUUUCUGGAUUGCCGCGCACAUGCAAGCACGCAAAAUCCAAAAGAAAUCCGCAACGUCAUCAUUCCUCGGACUGCAUGCACGCGAAAUCCAAAAGAAAGAUCAUGAUUGGGAUAUCAUUUAAUACCCUCGCUAUAUUUAUACCAUGCAUGAUUGGAUAUUCCAAAGCAUCUUGUAUUUCCAAAAAUGGCAGAUGUUCAGCUAAAUAAAGAAAUUCUAUCUGUUUCUAUUUUUCUCUCAAAUCAAUAUUAUAGCGUGUGGGCUCAUGCAAUUUUGAACCAAAGAAACCCAAAAAACGUUGGACCCAAAAUAUUUUGAAAAAACCCAAAAAACCCUAAACAUUUUAAACCCAAAAAUCCAGGCAUCCUGUGGCGUUAUUCCUUGAAUGGCAUGUGGGCGCAUGCCAUUUUCAGGGCCAAAUGCUGAAUGGAGAAAAAUUCCCUUUCAGUGCAAAUGUUGCAAAAGGCAGAUGCCAAGCACAAAGGACUGUAACUACCUCACAUGACACAGAUAAACUUUUCUCUAUUUGGCAAAGAUAAACUUUAUAGCGUGUGGGCUCAUGCAAUUUUGAACCCAAAAAAUGCACCAAAAAAUUCUCGGCGUCAUCUGGCGUUAUCUCUUGAAUGGCGUGGGGCCGCAUGCCAUUUUCAGAGGCACAUAGGAGUAUAUUCCUAAAAUAUUCUGACACACGCGAGAUUUUUUUGAGUUUUCUGGAGAUCCAACCGUUAGAUCGCAACUAGAUUUUACAGAAUGGUAUACAAUGUCCUUGUUGAUGACCCUGCAAAGAAGCAUUUCGAUCGGACACCACAUGAGACCACACGAGCCUUACAAUGUUUCAGGGGUAUUUGCCAUAGAUCCGACCGUUAUUUUGCUCCAAGAUUUUACAAUUUGGUGUGCAUUGACCUUUCCAUCGACAUUGCAAAGGGACAUCACAAUCAGAUGCGGGAUCACAAGAAACUAACUUCACUAACUCUGGUUUCACCAAGAUCUACAUAAGGAGUUAUGAAAUGAAAGGACCCUCUCUAUUGAAAUGUGUUUAUGGUCCUAGGGGCAUUGUGACAUAUCAAAGGAUUUUACAUCAAGUUCUGUAUUUAUAUGUUUAUCAAGCUACUGAAUUGCUAAACCCUAAACCGUAAACCCUAAACAUGUGGCAAAUGCUGCGUGAAGAAAGAUGCCCUUUCUGGGCAAAUGCUGUAAGAGGCAGAUGCCGAGCAGAUGUAUCUCAGGCUAGUGAAGGGGACAAACGAAAGCUAGCUAUAAACAUGACGGGAUGCAAAUAGAUUACUAGGCUGGUCCUGCGAAAAUCAAAAACCAUAAUUGAAAACAUUGAAAAUGCAAAAAGAAAGGUUUAUAAUAUUUUUGAAUUUUAAGCAACCAAAGGAAUGUAAGUAGGGCAUGUGUUUGUAAGUUUAAAAAUGCCUCAACCACUUAAAUUCCCAAGUAAAUAAAGCUGUUUCUAUUUUUGGUACAAGUAAACUUUAUAGCGUGUGGGCUCAUGCAAUUUUGAACCCAAAAAUGCACCAAAAAAUGCUCGACUAGCAUUAUUCUUUGAAUGGCGUGUGGCCUUAUAUUGCCAUAAAUGGACGUACACACACAGCAUAAUUAUUCCUUUACACGGCAAAUAAUCUUGGCACGGAUCGCUGACAUGGCAUGGCAAAGUUCGAAUCACUGACAUGGCACAGCUGGAUCGAGGCAAGGACAUGAUGUGACAAAGUUCAACCUCCGACAGAAAAGUCUAGAAGCUACUCAGUUUGAAAUUUGUCAGAGGAAUCAUAAAAUUUGGUUUGUCAGAGGAUUUGAUGUGACGUUCAAGCGUGUGUUAUUUUUGAAUUCUCGAACUCAUUCCUAGGUCUAUCAUUUUUGUGCACCGUGUUCUUGGUUCCGCUGAGCGCAGUGAGCGCUGCUUGUGUAAGCGGCGUUGUGGGCUGUGGUUUAUGCGUCUACGAGCGGUUGCGGCAUUGCGAGCGCCAUUGCGAGCAGCAGUUUAUGCGAGUGGCAGUUUGUGCGAGCGGCGCUACAAGCAGUUGCGGUGUUGCGAGCGGCGCUACAAGUAGUUGCGGUGUUGCGAGCGGCACUGUCUUUGGUGUGGCUACCGCUUCCUCUUGAUAUUCGGCACUUGUGCUUCCUGGUAUGUUCACCAUGGAAUGGCUUAGGACCACAUUUAGAAAUGGCAUGAGGCCACAUGCCAUCUUGGGCCUUUGCAAUUUCAUGGCUAGCGUAUUGUUAUGUAUGUUUUUACUUGCCUGCAGCUGUGUGUAUAUCAAGAUGGCAUGAGGCCUCAUGCCAAUUUUGUGAAUGCGAAAUUUCACGUGGGUGUCAAUAGCAUGUUUGAAUAAUGGCAUGUGGCCUCAUGCUAUUGAGGUUGUUUGGUAUGUUAUGAUUUAGGCCAUUCUCCAAUCAUUUUUUGUAUGGUCUUAACUUCUUUUCUGCACUUUCAGAAUGGCCUUCAGGGUUGGGGAAAAGGUUUACAUUUUGAAUGGUGGGAAGAGAGUUGAAAAAGGGACCCUUGUGUCUAUGGAUCGGAACUUUGUUAUACAUUGUCAAAGGCUUGGGGAAGGCAAUGCUGCUGUAUCAGUAGAGACUGUCUUCGAUGGGAAUGUGGUCGCUAUUGAAUGAGGAGAGAUGGUCGUCGGGGUAAAUGUUGUUGUUGCCUUGAAAAAUCUUCAGAAGAAAGCAGAUGUUGGGGACAGCGCAAGUGCGACGCAUGUUCCCUCCGUGGAUCUUAAGAACCGUGCUACAUGGAUUCAGGCGAAGGUGUUUCUAAACAACCCCGAGGGGGAGGUGGUAGCUGAGGGCUUAGCCACAGUUGUCAAUCCAAGAGAUGCGGUUGCUAAUCAAGAAUUGGGCUGGGAUGAUAUUGGAGUUGCAAUUUUAGAGGUUGUUGACACAGAAGAAAACAGUCUGACUAUUGGAAGCAUUGUGCGGUGGAAAUUGAGGCACUUAGUGUUUGAGAAUGUGAAAGAUUCACAAUCAAACACCACUACAACUGAUGACAGAACAUCUCUUCAUGGGAAAAGAAAGUACACCUUCCUAAAGCGCAGCCAAAGGGAUCUGAGCAACGAACCGAAAAGGCAGAAAAUGGCGAUGGAGGUUCGAAUGGUCUCAACAGUUGCUUGUUGCAAGAGGAGGUGCUGUCAACAUGCUGAUUGGGAUGCUAUUGAAGAGGAGAGAGCAAGAUACAAAACAUUGUCCUGGAAGGCAGCUCGCAAUUUUGUGUAUGAGGCAUUACGGUCAUCUGUUGAUGCUUCAGAACAUCAGGUGGGGGGCAUGGUCUUCCAGAGGGGUUUGGUCUGCAUGAAGGCAUGGAGAAUCAUUUAUGGAGUCCCUCGAACCACAUUCUACAAAAUCAAAACUGAGUUCAAGGAACAAAGGGUUCAACAGGCAGUCCAUGGGAACGACGGUACGCACAAAACCAGGGGUCAUGUUGUAUAUGGAGAGGCAAUCUUCAAGAGGUUUGUCGAGACAUGUAGCGAGCAGCAACCACAUAAAACCCGCCUCUUGGAAGAUGGAACACGAAACACCCAACGAGUUCUCCCUUCCAUGUAUACCAAGGGGGCCAUAUUGGAAGAUGUGAAUCGGGAACUCCAGAGUAAUGGCUACAGAAAGCUGAGCCAAUCUAGAUUUAGUAGAUUGUGGAGCAACAGGUUCAGGGAUGUGAGUAUAGGAAAGUACUCCAGCUUUUCAAAGUGUGACAAGUGCACUGCUAUCAAAAUGGCUUUGUCGAAGAAUUCUUGCAGCGCUCAAGAGCGAGAGAUGUUGGUUAGAAGGCGGCUCGACCACAACAUCGAGCAGAGAAGCUGCAGGACUGCAUAUUAUCAUAACAGGAUUCUCUCCAUGGAGAGACCUGACUCUUACCUCUGCAUCAUCCACGACAAAAUGGACCAGAAAAAGACGUGCUUACCUCGACUCAAUCCUGCCCCCAAGGCAAUCUCUUCAUCCAUGCAGCUGCCUGUGUCUCUGUUUGGCAUAAUCGCUCAUGGGCAUGGUGCCCAGAACUAUGGGAACUUCUUUGUACCUCUAUGGGGUGGCAGGGGUGCAAACAUGAUGAUUGCGUCCCUAGCAAAACACUUAAGGUCUCUGCAAAGUGCGCAGACUAAGCUGAACGGCCAACCCUUGCAUAAGGCCCUUGUCGAUCGAACCCCAUACAGGGUUCAGCUGGAGGAGGAGCAAAGGCUUGCAGUAUCGCGUGGGGCCCCAUGCCAUCCCAGUGAAUAUGUUGGCCGUCAGAUUGUAGGGUUAUCACGUGAGGCCUCAUGCCAUUCCGACGAGGCUGGUCGCCCGGUGAAUGCACAGCCUCAUCCAAACGAAGCAGAAUCUCAAGGAAGUUCUUGCGGCUGAUGUGGCCUUCCACCCCAUCUUCUGCUCCAAACAGACAAUGCUGGCAGUGAGAACAAAAACAUGUACGUCUUCGCGUACUUGGCGAUGCUUGUUGCCAAAGGCAUAUUUGAAACGGUUACACUUGGCUUUCUCAUGGUUGGGCACACUCAUGAAGACGUCGAUGCCAUGUUCAGUCACCUGGCAGAGUCCCUCCGGUGAUCCAAUGUCCUCACCCUCCCACAACUCUACGAUGAAUUCCAAAAUUGCAUCAAAGGCACUGUUGAAGUUGCACUUCUGACAGAGGUUCCAGACUUUAAGGGGUUUGUAAGAGGCUACAUCAGGGACGGAUCCGAAAUGCUGAUUGGCCACUCCAAGCCUCUUCAGUUUCAUUUCAGCAUGUGUGACGGUGCUCCAGUGAUGAGGUACAAGAUGAGAGAAUGGGACACAGUGUGGCUGCCAGUGGACAGCAUUGAACUCUUCAAGAGAGAUCCCAUAACUGGGGAACCUAUGAUUCCUCAGGGUUCCCCACGGCCGAUGCACCCGGAUGGACUCAAAGACCAGGAAAGUAUAGUGGCCGGGAUUAGACAGCAUAUUGCCUUCUGGAAGAGGGGGUUGGUGUUUGGUGGAGAAUCCUAUUUUCAGAGGUGCAAGCCUUUGCUUGAAUACUGGGAGAAGAUUAUAUCUGCUAUCCAAAAUGGGCCGGUUGUAUAUGAAGAAUUGGAAAAGUCCUUUUGGCCAGAACCCAAAGCACCAGAUAGUAGCGGAACAAUGUCCUCUGGAAAUGCAGUGACAGAUAACGAUGUUGAGGAUCACUAUUGUGGGCCGAGGAACAAGAAGCCGGAUUCAGCAUUCAAUCCAGUACAGGUCUGCAAAGGAAUGGUCGUGCUUGUCAGACCCAAUAAUAAAAAACAAAUGAUAUGGGUGGGGCACUACAUCACUGAUGCAGAGGAGGACGCGAAAACUAACUCCUUCAAUGUAACUGUGGAGUGGUUCAAGCCAAGUUCUAGAUAUACGAAGGAUUGCCUAGAAAAGAGAUGGGUGCUGAAUCCAAGGGAUCCUAGCAUGAGCAUAUCGGUGGAUAAUGUUGUGCAUGGUUGGAUGCAGAAGCAAAGUGCCACCAUCACCUUGCCAGACCAUGCAAGAGAUGCAGCAAGAGCAUUCAUAACCCGGGUUCAAGGUGAGAUUCAUGAAUAUUCCUUUACUAAGUUUCUAAUGUAUUUUAUUUCAAGGUGAACAAUCCGAAUCUGAAUCAGAGGAGGCGUGAUGGCAUAUGGCCUUACGCCAUUCCUAGGUGAGAUGAUACAAAUAACAAAUAUAAAUUCUUAGUUGUUCUAGCAAAUCUUACUUAAAGUUCAAGGUGAACAAGCCGAAUAUGAAUUCAUCGGAUUGUUAUAACAAAUUGCGAGGUGAUGGCAUGAGGCGAUACGCCAUUUGAGAGUGGUAGCCAUUCCUAUAUGAGGUGAGUGAAGUAUUUAUUAGAAAUACCUCAUUCAAUUGUGCACUUCUAAGUCUUGGUCCACUUAGUACUGUUUGCAUGUUUUUAUUUUAAUUCUUUCUCUAAAAUGUUAUUUAGCAUGUGGCUUCAUGCCAUUGCUCUCCACAAUCAUGCAUUGAAUUUCUAUCCUUGCAUAAUACUUCUCCAUAUAUAUAGUAUGUGCGCACAUGUGAUAUGGUUCAUUAGGCCUGAUAUAGUGUGUGAGGUAAAACAAAGAUGAUGUGACAUAUGCAUUUACCAAUCACACGUGCAUAAAUCUAAUAAUAUGGCAUAUGGCCCAUAUUAAUGGCACAUAAACCCAUAUUGUGGGCUUACGUGCUUUAUGUACCAUCAUUCCCUUGCAGCGUGUGUGUUGGUUUCCUUUUAUAACACAACGAACUCCAUAUUUUAGGGUGAAGAGCGUUCUCAUGGCAAGCACAAAAUCUGUAAGUGAGGCAGAAAAGGAGACGGAGAAGGAGAUAGGUGAAGAUGUAGAAUAUAUAAGUCUUCCAAACUCCCCAUACUAUACUCUAGGUGAUCAUUUUUCUGAACAAACGGCAACAUUAACAACUAUCGAGAACGCCCCAGUAACGUCAGAGACAACAAUCCAAAGCAAAACAACUGACCCGGAGAAGGAUGAUAGUACCGCUGAGAGUACCAAAAAGGAGGUGUCCACUAGCGCUUAGGCUUAUAAUGGCGUGUGCCUUCAUGCCAUUUACUUGAUCACCAAAUACCUUUUUCCCUUUGCACUAGUAUAUCUUAAUACCGGUCUGAGAAAUAGAAUGGCAUGUGCCCUCAGGCCUUUUACUAAAUCACCUUUGAAAGAAAUGCAAGCCUCUAUGUCGUAAAAAAAAGGUACUAGAUAAAUUCCUUAAUAAUAUGAAUGUUAUUUAGUUUCAUGAAAAUACACUAAGGGUCAAAUGAGUUAAAUGACUUCUCCAGACUAGCAAUGCCUCUUGCUACACCUUCACAAUUAGAUUCGUUAGAAAAAGAUAACAUUGAAUAAUAUCUAAAUGUUCUCACCAUUAAGUUAUAUGUCUGGCUAAUAGGAAUGACGUUCAUCUUGGAAAGCUCACCACACGCUCAAUGAACAAACAAAUAGUGUGUGCGCGCAUGCCAUCGCUCUUCUUUAGCUUCAGAUUCGGCUUGUUCACCUUGACAAUGAGAUUUAUUAUACAACCAGAUGGACACAGUUUGGAUAUAAAGUCACCGCGCUAGUCACCAUGCCCCAGAUAUGUCUAGCCCCUGGACAAAAAACAUAUAAUUUCACGUCAUUUUCAAAUACUUGAAAAUUUGUACCUAGUCCCAUUUUACUGAAUAAAUCCCACUUUAACGAAAUAGAGCUUUCAAGUAGUAAUAGUAAAGUUCUCUAGAAAAGAAUUAAGCAUUGUAACCCAAGUCUUCCAAUAGUAAGCUUAAACAAGAUGGUAUAACACUUCAUCACUAUCCAUCCCACCACUCACCAUUUGUAAGACCAUCAUUUCCAAUAUGCAUCAAGGUAAGGACUUUUAAUUGCAUAUUGUGAAUAUGAGUAAUGAGUCACACCUUGUUGCAAAUUAUUUCUUUAAGAAAAGAAAAUGAUUUACAUGUUUGAUCCUUUGUCCUUGAGGACUCUUUUUCUGAUCUCAUCUUUGACUAAACCUUAAGCUUGCUUUAGUCUAAUUUAAGAAAAGUUUAUAAGAGAGCACGGCAAUAACUACUAAAACUAAUAGACUAAUCCCUAUAGUCUUGAUUGAUCCACUUGUAAUCAUGCAUAGGAAGGAUCCACUAGAAUCGUGAUAAACAGCUACGAACCAACCUAUUUGCCACUCAUAGCAAACCUAAGAGAGGUUUAUUUUUACCAACAGUACAUGGAACAAUUAUGGGGAAUUUUUUUCAUGGAAAAAAAUUUGAACCACUAAUAGGCUAACAUUAAUCCUGCCAACUCAAAGUGUAAUCUUGAGUUACUAAUGUGCUUCUUUCAUGAGCCCAAAUGCAAACUCGUGCUAAUGUGCUUCACUCACAACACUAAGUGCAAACUCGUGCAAACAAAGCAUCUCAAUUUAUCCUAUGAGCCCAAGAGGAAGCUCACACAAUAUGGUACAAAAAGGUAAUCAAAAUCCAUACCCAAAGAAUAAAUGUGAAGUCUUAGCACCCAAACGUGUACCCACUUGGAUCAUCAUUUUCAUCUUUGCAUAUGCAACGAAAUUAAUUGCCCAAUUUCAUUGGAUAGUACUCGUCAAGACUCAUCCUCUGAUACCAAAUGUAGCAUACGUGGUUUUUACCCUUUAUCCUAUGGUGAUUUACGAUAGGAUAAUCACAAAGUAAAACCUAAACCCUUUAUGUGCCACGUGUCAUAUGCCAUAUGUCACAUAUCAUGUGUCCAAAGGACAGUGGUGUGGAACCUAAGUUUCAGGGCCUUGGGCCAUUGAACAAAGGAACGGUGCUAAACUUCUAAGUGUGAGACACAAAAUCCCUAGGCCCCAAAGUGGAGCCGGAAGGGUGCCAUGUGGUAGUGGCCGAAGCGAAAGCCAAACGAGUGUGACACGUUUGAACCAAAAGCUCCGACUUGAAAGGUCGAGAGCGGGAGUGGGGCUCGAGGAACGAGUACAAAGCAAACAAUAAGUGAGGCUCCAAAAAGGGACCCAAAAGGACCAACACGUGACACGUGGAUGAGUCCGAGAUGGACCGAGACAAAAUUUGAGAUGGACCGAGACAAAGUCUGAGACAGAGUCCGAGAUGGAGUCCGAGAUGGAGUCCGAGGUGGACCGAGAUGGAGUCCGAGAUGGAGUCCGAGAUGGACCCGAGAUGGAGUCCGAGAUGGAGUCCGAGAUGGACCAAGACGAAAUCCAAGAUAGAGUCCGAGAUAGACCCAGACGAAGUCCAAGAUGGAGUCCGAGAUGGACCCGAGAUGGAAUCCGAGAUGGAGUCCGAAAAGGACCCGAUAUGGAGUCCGAGGUCGAGAUCGAGACUGGGACCGAGACCGAGAAUGAGACCAAGACCAAGUUCGAGACCGAGCCCGAGUCCGAGUCCGAGUCCGAGUCCGAGUCCGAGUCUGAGUCCGAGUCUGAGUCCGAGUUCGAGUCUGAGAGGUGAAAGCCCAAAGCGUUCGUCUCCCAGACCCUAGGGGGUUUGGUGAGCUCCAAAAGUAUAGUAGGGGGAGGACUGCAGUGGAGUCAGUUUGGCCAGGAAAGGCCAGUUUGGCCUAGGAAGGCUGUACCCAGUGUUGGGUGAUGAGCUGCCCACUGGAAAGCCAAGACUAGAGUGAACACAGACUGACAAGCGGGGUAGCUUGGUGAAGUGUUCAAAAGCCGACUCUAGUUCCCCCGGGAGAUCGACUGGCUGAUGCUCCCAAUCCAAGUGUGGGUGGCACUACCUACUUGGAUAUUAGGCGUGGCUCAACGGAACCUCGCUCUAAGCCCAUGGCUAGAGCACCCAAAGGUGGAAGGCAGGGAGAGUACCCACGGGGAUCGCGUAAAGCCACGGUGUUCCGAAAUGUUGUCCCAAAGGCCCAGAUUGUGGAAAGGAAGAGGAGUAGUCCUUUGGUGUAGUGACCAAGGAUAUAGUCAUGUGGUGAGGAAGUCCCAAAGGACUGUGGGACUUAGUGGUCGGGCCUAUAGGCCUUGAUCCAGUAGUAAUGUUGGCAAACAUGGCCAUGGGCAGAAAGGGACUUGGUGGGGACCAGAAAGGGGAUAUUGGGGAAGGCUAUUCCCCAUGUCUAUGGGCAUCCUAAGGAUGUUAAGGAGUGGAUCUGGGAUGAUCACUCAUGGACGGAUGGCCCAAUCUUUGAGAGAUGGGACUGUGGUGUAGGUGGUGUCAAACCACCGGUGUGACCAAGGUGAAUGGGCAUGGCUUUAGCAUAACAGGCCGAUGUGUCGGUGGUGCCUUGGGGUGUCGGUCAUGGGAUCGGACACAUGGAGCACUUGGACCAAGUGCAAAGGUUGAAUGGCGGGGAUGCCAUUCUCGGGGCUAGCAAGCCCAAGUCCAAAAUAGGACUUAUGGAGGUUGUGAGUGAGACUCCUCCAAGUGGUUGGAGGUGUGAUUAAGUGACUAAAGUAGAAUGGAAAAAUUUAGUCGUUUACAACUUGGUAUCGGAGCUGUUCCUUAGUUCGACUUUUAUUGGUGCUCAAGUAUAUCACUAUUGAUGUUGGCAUCGGAAGGUUCGAGGAGUGGGCCUAUCCUCGAGGAGUACUAGGUCAGGAAGACAUGGCUCUCCAUUACAAUUCAUGUGUGAACUUGUAGACAAAGUGGUGGAUAGAAAAGGGCCAAUAAUGGAACGACUUUGGGAUCUUGGGAACAGUGCAAGGUUUUCCUCAUUGAGUUGAGUAUGUGAUCCAAAUGAGCGUUUGACUCAGCAAAUUGGCUAAUGUAGUUGUGGUAAACAACUAUAGUUGGGAUCACGGGGAAGAUAGACACUCCAAAACGAUAAAGGAGUCACAAGAUUACCCUCAUAUAGUCGAGGUUGGUGUUAAUGAAUUUGAGACCGGAAUUAAUGACUGUGGGAGGUCAAAUACAGAAGAGAACACAAAUCCUUGAAAUGGUAGCCGGGGCUACCUCUAAUAAAUGCUAGAACAACCCAAGGAGUUGGGGGUGUAUUUAGAGGAUGAAUUGGUAUUCUCAUCACAUGGACAAGUGGUCCUAAGGGGCAAAAGGUUGCCCUAUCAAGUGUCGGAGUAACACUUGCAAAAGAUGGUCCUUGUAAGUAGGACAUGAAUACAAGGAGUUGUAUUCCAGUGAGCUAGCACCUCAAAAGUAGGACCUCAUAGGUUGUCGGAUUAACAAAGUCCAAAAGGUUGAAUAACUCUAAUAGAGUCAAGGAAUAAUCCUAAGGGCUUGAUGAAAGCAUUUGGACUGAGGUGUGUGGUGCCCCACGAAGAAUAAGGAGGAUCUUGAGAUCCAAGCAUGAGAGCAGUAUGCAUCUCAUUGAUGGCAAAAGGUGCCAUACUAAAGUCAUGGGAAAGAGUUUCCCGGAAGAAAACAACUUUGACACAAAGUUGUGCAUGAACUCUAUAGUGCAGUGCUAAUGGAUAAUUGGCAUAAAAGACAACCAUAUUGGUCUUGGCAAAAAUACCUGGACACAAGUAACAAGUGUCAUAAAGGUAGGCUCAUGGAGCCGAUGGUGUGGAGACACCAAAGGUGCUAAGGCAUGCUGCCUUAAGGUCAAGUUGGUGGGUUUGUGAGAACCCCUUCCAAAGGAAUCCAAAUGGAAAUGGGAAUAGUAUAGCCUAAGUUGGAAGGCAUGUGGUUAGAGUGUGGUGACCCAGAUAAUGAUGGAGGUGUGGAAGCACCAACAAUGAGUUGUAGGACUUGACAACUAUAAGGCAACUAAGCAAAAGGUGCAAAAUAAUUCAUAAACUGGUAGAAAGCAACUACCUAAGACUUUUUAUUGGGAUAAGGAAAUUUGAUAUACCCUUAUAAGGGAUAAAUUGCUUAUGUUGCGACAUAGUAAGUCAAUGUCGAAAAGGGAAUGCUCAUUGUCAAAGAGGCCAUCAUUGAGACACCCAAACACUCUAGAACACCAGAAGGGGGUAUUUGGUGUCCUGAGGGCAAUGGAUAAUGCCCAAGGGACAGAGUCCCUAGCGAAUGAAGGAUAGGAGGUGCUAUACAAAUGUCCAAGGUUGUGGAGAUAGGAGAAGUCCGUUUACCCAAAUUGGACAAAGCCAAAGAGGGAUUUUGGCAAGGCUAGUGAUGGGCAUAUAAAGGCCCAUAAGUAGCAACAGUGAUCCCAGUGUGUGGGAUUACAAGGUGAGUAAACUUGGAUUGAGGAACCACUCCCUAGGCUGUUGGGUAGGUUCAUCCCUAUGAAUACUUGCCAAGGCAUGGUAGAAAGUGCAAAGUUAUCUUCCUAGUCUGAAGGAGAAUAACCAAAGGAAAUGUAUGAGGCCAAAAGGCAAGUAGUAUAGAGAUAAAACCGAACCAUAGGAAUUGACAGGCAUGACCAAAGGUGGUUAUGCAAGUUGGGAGUGGAGAAUUAAGUGGGUGCUCAAGCAUGUUGUUACUAGUGACCGGGAUGCUAUGGAGAGUCUAAAGCAUGGGAUUGUCCAUGUUAGACUAUAUGGUAAUUGGAAAGCUUGCGAAAGGAAAGGCCUUAGCAAGCCAAGGAAUCCUACCAUACGGGAUCUGAGGGUUGAAGGCAUCGGCGGGCAUUUUGUGUCUCCAUCUUCUGGACUUAGGGAAACGUUGCCCGUUCGAGUACACAUCGGGUCCACCGUCACCGAUAUCGCCUUCAACAUCAUCAACAGCAAGUCCUCCUCUGUGGUGCUCGGUCUUCCUUGGUUCCAACUACAUCAGCCUCAGAUUUGUUGGAAGGACUUACAGCUCAUCUCUCCCACAUCACCAUCUCCCACGGCUUCCCCUGAUGUUCAUCGAGUCCGAAUCAGGAAAUGUUCCCUAAACUCAAGUCGGGGUUCUGUUCCUGACUCUACGAAGUUUUCAUCCUCUUCUUUUUCCUCUCUUCCAUCUUACACUGGACAGUAUCCUCGUCUCAUCAUUCCAUUUAGUCGUACCCUUUCUCCUAUCUCCACAAUCACUAUGAAAGAACUCCUUCAUGAAGAACCUCUUUUUCUUUUUGCUUUGCAUGUUUCUCCUGUCAGUCUUCUUGAGAAGUAUCAUGAUUUUGGGGAUGUGUUUGACAAGAAAAAAGCUAGUGUACUGCCUGUUCAUCAGCCUUAUGAUUGUCCCAUUGAUUUACAGUCACCUCCGUGGGGGCCUAUCUACGGGUUAUCCCCGUCCGAGCUUAAGGCCCUCAAAGAGUACGUGGAUGAGAACCUUGCCUCGGGCUACAUUCAGCAUUCGCAGUCCCCGGCUGGAGCGCCUGUCUUCUUUGUCAAGAAGAAGGAUGGGAGCUUGCGGCUAGUCAUCGACUACUGAGGUUUGAACAAGGUGACUGUUCGGAACCGUUAUCCGCUGCCCCUGAUCUCGGACCUGUUGGAACGCCUCGGCGGUGCCCACUUCUUCACCAAGAUCGACCUCUGUGGAGCAUACAACCUGAUCCAGAUCCGGCCUGGUGAUGAAUGGAAGACUGCAUUCCGAACCCGCUAUGGCCACUUCGAGUACACUGUCAUGCCAUUUGGCUUGACAAAUGCUCCAGCGGUUUUCCAACACAUGGCGAACGACGUUUUUCAGGAGUUUCUUGAUCAGAUGGUGAUCGUCUACCUCGAUGACAUCCUCAUCUACUCAAAAACUCAGGAGGAGCAUGACGAACAUGUUCGCAAGGUGCUAGCGAAGCUGCGAGAACACGGCCUAUACGCGAAGCUUGAGAAAUGUUCCUUUGAUCAGCAGUCUGUGGAGUUCCUUAGGUACAUUGUCACUCCUGAGGGUAUCACGAUGGAUCCUGCUAAAGUCAAGACUAUUCUCGAAUGGGAGCCUCCACAAUCAAUGUCGGACGUUCAGGUUUUCCUUGGCUUCGCCAACUUCUACCGCAAAUUCAUUGAUCACUACUCUGACAUUGUCCUUCCUCUCACACAUCUCACUCGCAAGGAUGUUCCCUUCUCUUGGUCUGCUGCUGCCCAACAGGCCUUCGACACACUCAAGGCGGCCUUCAGUUCUGCUCCUGUCUUGAUCCAUGCUGAUUCCUCACAACCUUUCUUCAUCGAGGCUGACGCCUCCGACUUUGCCAUUGGUGCUGUGCUGUCUCAACUCGGAGCGGAUCACGAACUUCAUCCGGUCACUUUCCCAUUCUCGGAAAUUCCAGCCUGCGGAGAUCAAUUACGAAAUCCACGACAAGGAGCUCCUUGCCAUCGUGCAUUCCUUUGGAGAGUGGCGCCAUUUCUUGGAGGGGGCGAGCCAUCAAACAACAGUCUGGACGGAUCACAAAAAUCUCGAGUACUUUGCCACUUCCCGAGUUUUAAGCCGUCGUCAAGCAAGGUGGGCACAAUUCCUGAGUCGGUUUGACUUUGUUAUCAAUUACAGACCUGGAAAGUUUCAAGGCCUUCCUGAUGCUCUUUCAAGGCACUCCUAUCUCAGUCUCAGGCCUGGUAAUCCUGCCUUCGAUCAACAGGAUCAAGUUAUCCUCGGUCCUGAUCGGCUUCAAGUUAUGGCAAUUUCCCUGGCCCCUCAGGACUCCUCCUUGAUGGAUGCAAUCAGAAACGAUCUUCAAUCCGAUGAUCUCGCUAGCAACAUUUUCCCCCAUCUUCAGGCUGGACACCCAGUGACUCCCGACUGCCGGCGAUUUGACGAGUUCGAGUUCUUAGAUGGCUUAUUGUACCGUGGGGAGCAGCUUUACGUUCCUGAAGGUGAUGCUCGAAGGUUGGUCCUGAUGGCGUGCCACGAUAGCCCGACUGUUGGUCACUUCGGCAUUGCGAAAACCUAUGAGCUAGUUGCACGGGACUUUUGGUGGCCUCACAUGGACGACUACAUCAAAGCUUUUGUUACCUCCUGUGACACUUGUGCCCGGAAUAAGGUACCUCGCCACCUUCCUUCAGGUUUGCUUCGUUCCCUUCCGGUCCCUUCAGGUCCUUGGGAAUCCAUCUCCAUGGAUUUCUUGAGUGAUCUUCCGAGUUCUGGAGGCUUCAACAGCAUUUUAGUCGUGGUGGAUCGCUUCACAAAGAUGGCGCACUUCUUGCCAUGUACCAAGGAGUUUUCGGGCGAGGACAUGGCAAAACUGGUAUUCAGGGAAAUUUUCCGACUUCAUGGGAUUCCUACAGAUGUGGUUUCGGAUUAGGGGCCUCAGUUCAUCUCUCAUUUCUGGCAACGGUUUUUGCAGCUGCUUGGAGUGAAGGCCAACCUCUCUUCGGCAUAUCAUCCUCAAACUGAUGGGCAGUCCGAGCGAACGAUUCAGACGUUGGAACAAUUCUUGAGGUGCUUCAUCAACUAUCAUCAGGAUAACUGGUUCGAUAUCCUUCCCCUUGCUGAGUUUUCCUAUAACAACUCUGUUCACUCCUCUCUUCGAGUUUCCCCCUUCUUUGCGAACUCUGGUCGAAAUCCCCGAUUCAAUCUCUCACUUCCUUCUCCAUCUGAAUCCUCUCGUUCAAAUCCCCGCUCUGAGGCAUUUAUCUCCAACCUCAAGGAAAUCCACAACUCCAUCUCCUUCCACCUCCAUCGUGCUCAGGAAUCUCAUAAAACAUUUGCCAAUGUCCAUCGUCAGGAUUGUCCCCCUUACAAUAUCGGGGAUAAAGUCUGGCUCCUCAGGCGAAAUAUCUCCACCACCAGGCCCUGUCCAAAACUCGAUUUCAAAUGCCUUGGUCCUUUCCCUAUCACUGCCAUCAUUAAUCCUUUCACUUAUCGCCUUGCACUUCCCUCCUCAUAUCAAAUUCACCCCGUUUUUCACUCCUCUCUCCUUGAGCCUUAUAUUCCUAGUCCUAUUCCAAAUCGGGUCAUUCCUCCGCCUCCACCAGUGCAGCUCGAGGAUGGGUCUGAGUACGAGGUUUAGGACAUCCUUGAUUCCAAGAUUUCACGGUCUAAACUCUACUAUCUAGUGGACUGGAAGGGUUACGGACCUGAGGAACGCACUUGGGAACCUGCGGACAACCUGAUUCAUUCUCCUGACCUUGUUCAGGACUUCCACCACCGCUAUCCUUCUCGUCCCAGUCCUCAUUUUUUUUCUCCCUCUCCCAUCCCUCGCCGCUCAUCUCAUCCUCCUCUUCAUUCUCGUUCACAUCCUCGUUCCACUCGUUCUUGAGGAGGGGGUGCUGUCAGGAAUCCCCCAAUUCUUGCCACAUUCCUGACUCUAGCCGGAUUCCUGACCUGCAGACCACAUUCCUGACUCUCGAGACAUUUCCCUAUUCCUGACUCUCGAGACACUUCCCGAUUCCUGAGUCUCGAGACACUUCCCGAUUCCUGAGUCUCGAGCCACAUUCCUGAUGAUGAUGUGGCACCUCCUCGACCUCAACUGUAUUUAGGCCGUCCUCGAUCCAAGAGUGGUGGAGCUUCAUCAACCUAUAGUAUAUAUAAGUUCCAUUUCUCCACAAUCUGAAUCAACACCAGUCUAAGGCCUCUUCUUUGUUUUCACUAGUUUUUUCUCUUUGUCUUUAGCAUUUUCCAGUCUUGAUCUUGUUGGGGGUCUUGACAACAUCAAUGGUGAUAUACUUGAGCACCAAUAAAAGUCGGACUAAGGAACAGCUCCGAUACCAAGUUGUAAACGACUAAAUUUUUCCAUUCUACUUUAAUCACUUAACCACACCUCCAACCACUUGGAGGAGUCUCACUCACAACCUCCAUAAGUCUUAUUUUGGACUUGGGCUUGCUAGCCCCGAGAAUAGCUGUUAGGCGCCAGCUUUGACUACGUGGUCAACGUCGGUCAAAGGGAGGCUCAAGGGUAUAUUAAGGCAUGUUAGGGUAAGGGACUUAACCUACCCUAGGGCUCACAGUGGAGCGGCGGCGCAGUGGAGCUUUUGAGGUAGCUCGGGGGUGGUUGGGUGGUGAGGAACCUCAAGAGGUGGCGUAGCAUAGUCUAGGGCAACUAGAUCUUUGUCUUUUUGCGCCGGAUCAUAACAUUGGUAUCAGAGGAUUGGUUGCGAUGGCCGACCAAGCUGAACGCUGGAAUCCUAUCAUCGAUGGUGGUGCCGACGGUGGUGCCGACGAUGGUGUCAACGAAGCUGCGGAGAUUUGGACCAUUCAAGAUGUGGUUCAUGAGCUGCGAGCCCUUAAUAAAAAUCAGCAAGAGAUGCAAGACGAGAUGCAUGGCAUGAUGGAUACCAUGCGUGGGCGUGUUGAGGCACUCGAGGCUGGACGGGGUAGCGCUCCAAUGUCUCGCUUGGCUAGCCAAUGUGAAGAAGUUCUUAGCUGCUAGAGGAACUCCAGAUGCAGAGGCUUUAGUGGCUAUUCCGAUGGUUUUGCGUGAUGCGGGUCUUCGAUGGUGGAAUUGGCUUGAGGAGUCCCGUGUUGCGGAUAAGAAACCACCAGUGUCUACCAUGGAUGAGUUUGAGGCUGCUUUCCGUUUACGUUUUGCCCCUCAUUACGACGUGGAGAAUGCUCGUACAGAACUUCGCCAUUUCCAGCAAGGGAAAAUGACGCUCGGGGAUUAUAUUGAGAAGCUUACUCGCUUGAUUAGUCGUGUUCCAACGAAGGAUCCAGAUCAGAACAAGUCCUACUUCAUUGAUGGCCUCCAUAGUGAGAGUAUGCGGCAACACUUGCGUCAUUCUCAGCCUACAAAGAGUUUGGAGGAGCUCUUUGAUGCGGCUCGUCGUCUUGACAAUGACAAGCACAAGUCUCGCAAGCGUUCGCGGAGUCCUUCUGUCGAGAAUCGUCGUGAUGAUCGCCGUGGACACAAGGAUGGGAACAAGCAUCACAAGUUGAAGUCGGUGGUGACUACCUCGGAUGCAAAGGGGUCCAAGAAGCAGAAGUUCUUUGUGAAGAAUUAUAGACAGGGUUGUCAUCAUUGCGGCGAACUUGGACACUACAAGGCUGAUUGUCCGCAGUUAAAGAACAAGCAGCAGGACAAGAAGAAUGGCCAAUCUUCUUCUCACGGUAAGUCCGAUACUAAAAAGUUGCAAACUUUGCAGCGUGAGGAGGAGGAGACCGACCAUUCCGGUCGGAGGAAGCGACUUUCGAUCGUUGCUCGUCAGCUCAACUGUGUGUGGAACAAGAUGGAGCUCGAGGAUACGCGUGAAUCAGCUUUAAUGCUGGAGGGCGUGUUCCGUGGCGAUCCAGUGCGGAUUUUACUGGAUAGUGGGAGCGAUGACAACUUUGUUUCGGCAAAGUUUGUUGCGGAGCAUCGCCUGAACACACGUGGAGUUGUUCCAUACACAGUGGAAGGUGCAGCUACCUCUGCUCAGCAUUUCGAUGCUUGUGUCGAGGGGCUGGAAGUGUUGGUUGGCAAAACCACACUUGUGGAGACUUUUUAUCUCGCGGAUAUCCAUCGUGUGGAUCUCAUUCUUGGGAUGCCAUGGUUGGUGAAGGUGGAUCCAGAGAUAAAGUGGAGCAUUAAGCGUAUCUCGCUGGAGUAUGGUGGCGUUAAAGAUGUGUGGUUUGGCGAGGGCGUUCAACCACCAGUUGUUAUGCUCUCUGCUACAUCUUUGAAGCGGGCUUGUCGUAAUGGAAAAGCACUUUCAAGUUACUUGCUGUUUGUUCGUGACUUGGGGGACCAAGGCACGUGUGGGGGAGAAGCAGCAGUACGGGAUGUACUUGAUGAGUUUUCUGAUGUUUUUCCAUCUGAACUUCCUCAUGGAUUGCCUCCAUUACGAGGUGUGGAGCAUGGGAUUACAUUGGAGCCGGGGACGCGGCCAAUUUACCGGCGUCCAUUUCGGUUAAGUUAUGUGGAGGAGCAAGAAGUUCAACGACAAGUCAAGGAGUUACUUGAGUUUGGAUUUAUUCAGCCAAGUAAGUCUCCGUUUGGUGCUCCGGUCUUGCUUGUGAAGAAGAAGGACGGUUCAAUGCGGAUGUGUAUUGACUACCGUGCUUUAAACAAGAAGACAGUGAAGGACAAGAUGCCGAUGCCACGUGUGGAUGAUAUCCUAGACAAGCUUGGUGAAGCACGAGUGUUUACCAAGAUUGAUCUGAGGAGUGGAUAUCAUCAGAUUGCAAUGGAUGAUGCAUCUAUCUCCAAGACGGCAUUCAACACAAGCUUCGGACAUUUCGAGUUUACUGUUAUGCCGUUUGGUUUGACGAAUGCACCGGCCACAUUUACUCGGUUGAUGACGGAGGUAUUUGGGCGUUAUCUUCAUGAGUUUGUGGAGAUUUUCUUGGAUGAUAUUCUUGUUUUUAGCAAGAAUAUGGAGGAGCAUAGGGUGCAUUUGCGCAAGGUUCUUUUGUUACUUCGAGACAGCAAACUUUAUGCGAAGAAGAGCAAAUGUGAAUUUGCAAAGUCGGAGGUGGAAUAUCUAGGCCAUAUUGUGACAUCUAAGGGUGUCAAGACGGAUCCAAGGAAGGUGGCUGUGGUGGAAAACUGGCCUACACCGACUACAGUGGCCGAGUUGCGCAGUUUUCUUGGUAUGGCUAGUUACUAUCGACGUUUCCAGCAUAAGUUUGCAGAGGUGGCUAUUCCGUUGACGCGGUUGUUACGCAAGAAUGUGCCAUUCGAGUGGAAGACGCCACAAGAGGAGAGUUUUGUGGCGCUGAAACGAUUGUUGAUCGAGGCUCCAGUGCUUCGCAUUGCUGAUCCAUCGAAACCUUACGAGGUGACAUGCGAUGCGAGUGGUUAUGCACUGGGAGGAGUUCUCAUGCAAGAGGGACAGCCUAUUGCAUAUGAGAGUCGAACUUUGAAUUCCGCGGAGCAACGCUAUUCCACAUAUGAGCAAGAGUUACUCUCUAUUGUUCAUGCUUUGCGGACGUGGCGGCACUAUCUUUAUGGUGCAGUGUUCGUGGUGUUGACAGAUCACAAACCACUUGUGUAUCUUUUCACACAGAAGGAGUUGAACACUAGGCAAGCUCGUUGGAUGGUCAAACUCAUGGAGUUUGGGGAGUUUCCUAUUGAGCAUCGUCCGGGAAAAUCAAAUGUGGUGGCGGAUGCUUUAUCUCGUGUUCGUCAUGUGAUGACGUUACGAACACGAUUUUGUCAUCAUUUGAGUAAGGUGGUCAGCGAGUUUGGGCAGUUGGUUGAGCAUGCUCAGGCUCAGGAUGCUGAGGUGGCCUCUUUGCGAGACCAGAUGGAAGCUCCUUUCUCAUUGGUGGAUGGGAUUCUCUACUACAAUGGCCGUGUCUAUUUGCCACGGGUGGAUGCGUUAAUUACUCAAGUUUUAUUCCACUAUCAUGAUCGUCCAGAGGCCGGUCAUUUUGGGGGGAAGAAGACGUAUGAGUUGAUUAAGCGCAACUUUUAUUGGAGGAAUAUGAAGGCUGAUAUCCUCAAGUAUUGUAAAUCAUGCGAGCUUUGUCAGCGGGUUAAGGUGCCACGGGAGAAGCCGGGGGGACUUUUGCAACCUUUACCUAUUCCUCAGAGCCGUUGGUGUAGUAUCUCUAUGGACUUCAUCACUUGUUUGCCACGAACACAGAGGCAAAAGGAGCAAGUAUGGGUCAUAGUGGAUCGGUUGACGAAGUAUGUGCGGUUGUUGGCUCUUCGGAAGACUGUCACUGCCUCAGACUUGGCUGCGGUUUACUUGGAGAGGGUUUUUCCUGAUUUUGGUUUGCCGGAGGACAUCAUUAGUGAUCGAGAUUCAAAGUUCACUAGUGGAUUUUGGAAAAGCUUUGCAAAGGCUAUGCAAGUGACUUUGAAACUCUCGAGUGGAGAUCAUCCUCAGACGAAUGGGCAAACCGAGCGUGUCAAUCAGGUGGUGGAGGAUAUGCUACGUUGUAGCAUUGGUCAAAGGCAAGGACAGUGGGAUCUAUAUCUUCCAUUGGUGCAAUUUGCUUACAACAAUAGCCAACACAGUGGAACCAAGCUAAGUCCUUACUUUGCGAUGUUUGGAAGGCAUCCUCGAACAGCGGUGGAGUUGGGAUUGCAUUUGAGUAAGGACGUUCAAGAAAAGCUUGAUUCCGAGGCAACUGAUCUGGCCACAGAACUUGAUGAGAUUCUGGUGGUAUGCAAACGGAAUUUGCAAGCAGCUCAGGAUAGAGCGGAGAAGUUUGCUAAUGAGCAUCGCCAAUUCCGGGAAUAUAAGGUGGGUGAUCUCGUCUUUGUGCGAGUGAUCUUUUCGUCAAGUGAGCGGCGGAACACCUUAGUGCCUUUACGGACAGGGAAGAGUGAUAAACUUUCCCAUCGAUAUGCUGGUCCAUAUGAAGUGCUGGAGCGCAUUGGUAAAGCGGCUUAUCGGGUGCGGCUGCCAGCUGGGGUGAAAAUUCAUCCAGUAUUUUAUGUCAGCCAAUUGAAAGGUGUACUAUCUCGGAGUGACGGGCCCAAUGCCUCCUUGAUGUAUACGGCUGUGGAAGAUGGACCAGGAGCUUGAGCAGGAUUCCCCAGAAAGGGUGAUCACCGGUACAACUCGUCCUUGGGACAAGGACUUUGUUGGGGGGGAAGAAUUGUUAGGCGCCAGCUUUGACUACGUGGUCAACGUCGGUCAAAGGGAGGCUCAAGGGUAUAUUAAGGCAUGUUAGGGUAAGGGACUUAACCUACCCUAGGGCUCACAGUGGAGCGGCGGCGCAGUGGAGCUUUUGAGGUAGCUCGGGGGUGGUUGGGUGGUGAGGAACCUCAAGAGGUGGCGUAGCAUAGUCUAGGGCAACUAGAUCUUUGUCUUUUUGCGCCGGAUCAUAACAAUAGCAUCCCCGCCAUUCAACCUUUGCAUUUAGUCCAAGUGCUCCAUGUGUUUGAUCCCAUGACCAACACCCCAAGGCACCACUGACACAUCGGCCAGUUACGCUAAGGCCAUGCCCAUUCACCUUGGUCACACCGGUGGUCUGACACCACCUACACCACAGUCCCGUCUCUCAAAGACUGAGCCAUCCGUCCAUGAGUGAUUAUCCCAGAUCCACUCCUUAACAUCCUUAGGAUGCCCAUAGACAUGGGGAAUAGCCUUCCCCAAUAUCCCCUUUCUGGUCCCCACCAAGUCCCUUUCUGCCCAUGGCCAUGUUUGCCAACACUGCCACUGGAUCGAGACCCACAGGCCCGGCCACUAAGUCCCACGGUCCUCUGGGACUUCCUCACCACACGACUGUGUCCUUGGUCACUACCCCAGAGGACUGCUCCUCUUCCUUUCCACAGUCUGGGCCUUUGGGACAACAUUUCGGAACACUGUGGCCUUACGCGAGCCACCUGGGUACUCUCCUCGCCUUCUGCCCUUGGGUGCUCUAGCCAUGGGCUUAGAGCGGGUUCCGUUGAGCCACACCAGGUAUCCAAGUAGGUAGUGCCACCCACACUUGGACUGGGAGCAUCGGCCAGUCGAUCUCCCGGGGGAACUAGAGCCGGCUCUUGAACACUUCACCAAGCUACCCCGCUUGUCGGUCUAUGUUCACUCUAGUCUUGGACUUCCCAGUGAGCAGCUCAUCACCCAACACUGGGUCCGGCCUUCCUGGGCCAAACUGGCCUUUCCUGGCCAAACUGGCUCCACUGCAGUCCUCCCCCUACUAUACUUUUGGAGCUCACCAAACCCCCCAGGGUCUAGGAGACGAACGCUUUGGGCUUUCACCCUCUCAGGCUCCGGACUCGGACUUGGACUCGGACUCGAACUCGGACUCGGACUCGGACUCGGACUUAGGCUCGGCCUCGGUCUCGGUCUCGGUCCCGAUCUCGGUCUCGGUCUCAGCCUCAGUUUCAGUUCCGAUCUCGAUCUCGGUCUCGGUCCCGGUCUCGGUCUCGACCUCGGACUCCAUCUCGGGUCCUUCUCGGACUCCAUCUCGGAUUCCAUCUCAGGUCCAUUUCAGAUUCCAUCUCGGACUCCGUCUCAGUCCAUCUCGAACUCCAUCUCGGGUCCAUCUCGGACUCCAUCUCGGGUCCGUCUUGGACUCAAUCUCGGAUCCAUCUCGGGUCCACCUCGGACUCCAUCUUGGACUCCAUCUCGAACUCCAUCUCGGGUCCAUCUCGGACUCCACCUUGGACUCCAUCUUAGACUUCGUCUCAGUCCAUCUCGGACUCCACUUCGGACUCCACUUCGGAUUCCAACUUGGGUCCAUCUCAGACACUUCCACGUGUCAUGUGUUGGUCCUUUUUGGGUCCCAUUUUGGAGCCUCGCUUAUUGCUCGCUUCGUGCUCGUUCCUCAAGCACUUUGUUGGGAGUUCCACUCCCGCUCUCAACCUUUCAAGUUGGAGCUUUUAGUCCAAACGUGUUGCGCUUGUUUGGCUUUCGCUUCGGCCACUACCAUGUGGCACCCUUCCAGCUCCACUUUGGAGCCUAGGGAUUUUGUGUCUCACACCCAGUCUUUGAGAGACGGGACUGUGGUGUAGGUGGUGUCAGACCACCAGUGUGACUAAGGUGAAUGGGCAUGGCCUUAACAUAACGGGCCGAUGUGUCAGUGGUGCCUUGGGGUGUUGGUCAUGGGAUCAGACACAUGGAGCACUUGGACCAAGUGCAAAGGUUGAGUGGCGGGGAUGCCAUUCUCGGGGCUAGCAAGCCCAAGUCCAAAAUAGGACUUAUAGAGGUUGUGAGUGAGACUCCUCCAAGUGGUUGGAGGUGUGGUUAAGUGACUAAAGUGGAAUGGAAAAAUUUAGUCAUUUACACUAAGUUAGAAGCCAAGGAGUAAAGGAACUGAACCACGAAGCAACUCCCAAGCAUACAGCCUAAGGAGCAGAGGGAUAGGAGCACGAAGUGACUUAGAAUAGUCCUAGAGCAUCUAACAUCCCAAUGCCAAAACUAACAUGCAAAACAGAGCCUAUUGCUAUUUUAGCAUACUGAUGACUUAACGCAAGGAUAUGAGUACUCCACCAGCUAGCAUGGUAUGGAGUUUGGGCUUAGACCUAAGCCAGAAGCAGAACAAAGAUAGACAUACAAGCGGGAGCUAAACUAUGCCUCAAAUUGGUCGACCAUGCUCCCGACCUACCCACUAUCCCUACUAUACAUUUGGAACCCCUUAUAGCCACACCCCCUCCUCGUCGUGAGGAACACACUCUUUGGGCUUUCACCCCAAGCCUCCCUUAAUAUCAGGAGUUAGUCUCUGGGAUAAGCUUGAAACUUACUAAAUAUGGAAUGUUCUUAGAUUGCGAAUUUGGACACGGAACGAACACUAUUGUGUUCAGGACAAUUUCCACAUUCCGUAGAUAUGCCAAAUAAGCAAAUCUAGACACUUUCCAUAAAUAACAUUUGAGACUGAAAUGAGACUAACACAAAAGGCAUGAUAGCGAGGGUGUUUGGCAAACACGAUAAACUAUCAUCUAUUGUUAUUGAGGGACUAGUCUCAAUACGCGAGGGUUCUUGUCAAACCAAUGCAAGAUAGAGUAAAAGAGAACUAAAAAGCUGGGCCAAGUAUGCUUGGCAAAAUAGACACUUAGGAAUUUUGUCCUUAUGCUCAUCCGGCCAAGUACAGAUGCAAAAUCCAAUUUACUAACACUUGAAUAAAAAGGGUUGAUAAAGGGUCCAGCAAUACUGACCUCCUACCGUUGUAGCAGUAAAGAAAGAGUGUCCAUAAAGACUAGCUGACAGAUAAUUUUCAAUACCCGAAAUCACAUUUGCGACAGCUUUCCAUCUACAUUGGUUUUCAAUACAUAUUUUGAACGUGUUACAUUAGAGCUUCCAGCUCAAUGUGGAUAAAAUUGAUACAAUUAAAUGUGUGGUUAUCAUAACUAAAAAGUAGAAACAUUCUUCUAAAAUUCAUCAUUAAGAAUUGUUGUGCAAACAUCUUUGGCAUCAUUUGUAUUAUACCACUUCAAUGAUUCAAAUUCCACUCACUAUAAAUCAUCAAAGACAUGGCAAACAUCUUCAUGCUAAAGCUAGUUGACCAUAAGAAAGAUGUAAGUGAAUUAAGUCUUUGUAUGUUUCAUGAGUUCUCUAGAGCAAAACUUCCGGUGUGAUUUCUUGUGUCUCUAGAGUAGAAUGUUGAUCAUCCCUUCAAGUGGUAAGAGGUGAUAUAUUGCUGCCAAUAGGUAAUAAGCAAGCCAUGCCGAUAGUGACAAACAAUGAAGUCAAGAAGAAGAUCUAAGUAGUACGAUAGACCCCAAAGCAAUUGGUAGUGGUUCAAUCAAUGGCCACACUUAAGGGGGGAUGGUAUACUCAAGUGGUGGUGACAGCAGCUCAUUGAAUAUCUAAAUUUGGAUCUUGUAGUAUGGAAAUAGGGAGUGAGGAGAUUCCUCUUAUUUGAAGUUAAAGAAACAUGAAAUGGUAGAGUUUCAGGCUAGGAGUGGAGAUGUUCUCCAUUGGUUUGAAGGAGUAAAAGGUCUGGCUAGUAGUCCAGCUUGGAGAUGUAUUUAGUGUUUAGAAUGACACAAAUGGAGUGUGCUCGUCUGGUGGGAUGUGAUAGAAAUUGAAGUUGGCAUGUCAGUUUAGGAAGCAAUGGGCCAUAAGCACUAGUCUAUUUGGAGAGUGAUAGGAGUGCAAGUACUUUAGGAGGCAUGUAACCACUUUCAUUUCAACAGAUAACAAUUGAAAAUAUCUAUUGUAGUGGCUUUGUGAUGAAGACUUUCUCUUACAACAAUGUGCCUUCACUACACCAUUCUAAAAGAGUGGGUGAAACCUAGUUGACUAUGGAAUAAAUGGCUCCCAUGUUUCAGCAAAGUGGUAGAUGACCAUAUCUGCUAGAAGUGGUGCCCCCCUCCCCCAACUCUGUCCUAUGUUCAACUCAGAGGGAGACUUGGAUAUUGAUAUGAUCUAAAAGAUACAACCACAUCCACUUCUACUUUAAGACGCAAAUGCCUAAUUUUUGUAUUAGCCCCAUUGGGACUUAAGGAAUGUACAUACAUGUUUACUUAGAGUAAAAUUUAACAUUGGUUUAUCAAUUAUAAAUCUCACAAUCUUCUCAUAGUCAUUUACAAUCUUAGACACCCAAUCAAACCUCUUAAUAUCCUUCAAUGAAAAGUCUAAAACAUGGUACAUAUAUUGAUUGUGUAAGAUAAAGAGGAAUUUUUCUCUCAUAUGUUCCUCCAUCAAAUACACAAUUUGAAGCAUUAUCAAUAGUGACUUAAAUAACAUUUUUAACACCAACAUCCAAAAUGAUUAAUUUAAACUGCCCCCAAGGCCAAAGACUAAUUUUUUCCUCUCCUUUGGUAUCAACACCCUACUAAAAUACCAAGUUAUGGAUGGAGAUAAUUAUGAAGUACCUUAGAUCAUCCAUUAGUUACUAUUAUACAUUCAAAUUGAGCCCAUCUAACAUGAAAGGAAGUUAACUUCUCUUUGAUUAGAAUAUAGUGACAAGUGAGUUGAGUAGUGCAAAGUUUUUUGUAAUUAAGAAUCAUUGAUGAAGCACCAAGUCUAGCACUACAAGUGAUUGCAAUCAUUGUGAAAAAGUAUAGGAUUUUGACAAUAUUUAAUGUUAUAGCAUUUUAAGAAAUGAAUUUUGAUAUUACAUCAUUUGUAUUCAUGUUUCUUAAGCAUUUCCCUAAAGUUGCCAUCUCACAUUUACUUUCAACUAACAAAUGAUCUUUCAUGGCUUAAAAAAGCACUUAUUGCCUGAGAUUGACUAGCACUUUGUGUCCCAACUCUAGAAGCAAAUGCCCCAUCAAAAUACUAAUUUGCUGUAGAAGGUAAAGCUAAAAGGGCAUUUAUUAUUUGCUUCAUAAGCAUUCAGCGAGCUUAUUCCUAAACAUGGAGAGGAAUAUUUGAAGCACUAUAUACUUUAAUGUCAUACUUAAAAACUCUAGCAAAAUGCACUUUAAUUCAUUUUGGUGGACUGCCAUACAUUUUUCCACAAUAGUUGCUCCAAUUAUGCAAAAAUCAAUUGCUAAAACACUAGAAUCCAAUUGUUAGAAUUGUUAGAAUCGCAUUUUAAGAUACAAAUUAGAGUUUUUUGGGAAAAAAAUAGCAAAGCAUUUUAGGAACAGCCCUCUCUGAUUAGCAUCUUGGCCAAACAUGGUCAAAACCAACAAUGGGCACAACACACUAUUCUAGCUGAAAAAGGAAUAAGAAAAUCAAUGUGUUAAAUGUUUGACUUACUUUCUUUAUCUUAAUUAGAGUAACCAGUGAAAUCUAGUCUUUAACAUGAUUUGUCUUGCACCUUAAAAAUUCACCUCUCUCACAUGAACCCAAUAACCCAUCUGACAUGAUUUUCUGUGUAGUGCAUAGAAAGAAAUGCUGUAUUGCCAAGCUCCUACAAUGUCAGCAUUUCAAGUUUUUGGAGCUUGGGAUAGGGUGUAAUUGCUUUGGCUCAUCAUCAUGGUGCAAUAGAGAGCUUAGCAAUGCUCUAGAGAGAGAAGCCCUUGGAUCAUACCCACUAGUUAUGGGAAAGUAUGCUCAUUACUAUAAAGAGAGAGAGAUAAGUGCUAACAACACCUUACAUGUUCUUUUAUAAUGUGGCCAUCUUUAGCCAACUAAACUCAAGCAUAAACUCAAUAAGCUGCCACUAGAUAUGUUAUCUUACCUCACUCAGCCAAUGAGCAUCCAAGCCAUACUACUCUCCCAUUGGCCAAGAGCAAGAUCCACAAAGUUUUUAGUCAACCAGCCUAAGAACCAAUAGCUGGGGUAUAACCAAGUUGGAUGAGUACCAUUGAUUUAGUUGAGACACACUAUUGCCUUAGGAAUUUAAUUUGACUGAUGGGAUAAUUCUUUUAUUCUCCACUAGAGCAAGUAUAUCAAUGAUAUCCUAUUAGCAUGCUCUUUUCAUGAUAACCAUGUUAGGAGAAAAACUUUUUAUACAGGUAUAACCUAAUAUGAUAUCUUUUUUUUUAAUUUAAACUACUCACCUAGGGAGAGAAUCAUCUUUUAUACUGAUUACCUUCUAGCUCAAGUAUGUAUAGAUUGACAUUGGCCACCCUUACUAUGACAUAUAUACACAACUAAAGUUGCAGAACUAACCAACCAAUAAAGGAAACUCAUUUUUUCACCAUAAAAAUAUGCUUUUUGAGAAUCAUUAAACUAGUUAAUGUUUAAUUAAUUAGGGAAAACAUAUUCUAUAGAUAUUCCCGAAAGCUGAGUAGGUCGCGAGAUCUGCGAGGCCCGGCACAAGCAGCUGGAAGGCUUCUCACAGACGCCGCUGCUUGACGAGCCCGGGGGUAAGUUUCUGCAGCUGCCAAGAGUGCUCGCGGGGCUCUGGCGAUACUCAAGAAAGCACGAGCCGCUGGUGUACGUGAGGCAAAAUCCUCGACUUGAUCGAGACGUCAAAGGUAGCUUCCGUGGUUGUGCUGGGCAUGCCCGGGAUCGGCAAGUCCAGCUUUGUCUUCGUUCUGUUGUGGGCGCUCCUUCACAAGUGUUGCUGGAACCUCAUCCUCCUCAAGUUCAAGGAAUCCGACAGCUACUACGCCUUUGACAAGGAUGGCAAAGUUUCAUCCACUGUCAACCCCGCCGUUGCCGCGAAUUGGGUGGAGGCCGAAGAGGAAGGCAAGGUGUGGUACCUGGCGGACUGGAAGAUCGAUAAGCACUACUGGAGCCUGCCUUGCAAGGUCGUUAUGGCCACCUCGCCUGGCCGGCAGAAUCACCACCACUUCUUCAAAGGAGACGAUGUGAUUAGGCUUUUCAUCCCGACGUGGUCUCACGAAUAAAUCCAACGAUCUGGUGUUCAAGUAUCCAAAGGCCGAGGUGGACGAGAGGUUUGACAAGUGGGGAGGGGUCCCGAGGCAUGUGCUAUCCAAGACUGGCAUACAUCAGCAGCAAGAGCUUGAGGAUGUGGGCAAUACGAAUGAUCAUUGAAAGUUGGCUUCAAGUUUGCGUGUGUUUCAAUUGGUUCUAAUUUCUUGUCAUGAAGAAGCCAAGUGACCUGCUCAACGACGAUAAGAACUGGAAAACGCCAUGUCACAGUGUGCCAAGAAGAAAAAUGCUAUGAGAUUGGAGAGAUUUUGUGUCAACGUGAUUGUCGAUGCUUUGAGUUAUGUUGUUGCUGCGCUCAACACAAGACCUGUGAGCUGAGAAACAACGUUGCCUGUGAUCUUCAGAACCUCAAUCCAGCUGAAGACGUGCAUGACAAUGGUCCAACCCCAAAGGCAAAGGAAUGUGUGUGCUUCUCAAUGGCUAUAAGAAGCACAGUGAUCAUAGCGUGAAUUGACAAGAAAAGACGCUCAGAUCAACUUGUAUUCUGUUUGUUCUGUUUGCUGUUCAACAAAAUGGACAUCAGGUGUUAGAGGUAGAGAUGAUGUGGCAUGUAAUAAUGCCUACAUAGUAGUUUCAUGUAUAUGUACCAUUUAUAUAUAGUUGAAUACAGAGAGAAAGUUCUUCCUCCUCGUGCUCAAUAGCAAGGAGUAACAAGCAAAGCAUAAAGCUAAUGGGAGAUUGAGAGAUUUCAGCAACCCAUAUAAAAAAUUGGAUCAAACAAAAUUCAAGAACAUUGCAUAACAAUUCUUUGCAUGAAUUUCUAGCAAUUAAGAAAGAUGUUUAUGGAUAUUCAAGUGUUUGGUAACAGUAGAAGUGGGAGCUUGGCAGUUCACAGCCAAGACCACAUGCUAGUGACAAGAUUGAAGCCAUAGCAAGGAGCAAAGAGUGCGCAAGUAAGUCUAAAACUAAGAACCAAGUUUUGUAUAGUUGAUUGAUGAGUUUUUAGUAUGUUUUUCUCAUCAGCUCUCCAUGCUCAUCAUUUCAGAUGAGCUAAACAUGAUUCAGGCUUAGAUUCAAGCUUGGAUCAGCCGCCUGAUCAUGAGUGGAAGUGUUAGAGGUAGAGAUGAUAUGGCAUGUAAUUAUGUCUAUGUGGUAGUAAUUUCAUAUAUAUGUACCAUCCAUAUACAGUUGAAUAAGUUUUUCCUCCUCAUGUAUGUCUCUCCGCUGCUAACAUCAGGUUCAUGGACUGUCUGUUCUAACUGGACAACACCUGAGAACAACUAAAAGGGCUAGAGGCUUCAACCUUCCAGGUCUAUGUUCUCUACAGUUUUCUUUAUGGUUUCUCUAACUUCUUUUCAUUUUUGCAAUGCCAUGAGAUUGCAACAUAGAAGUUUAUGCUGCGGCAGUGGCAAAACCAGACGAUCUACACAAAGCCAAUGGGAUGCAGGGACAAAACGCAACAGGACACACAAUCGCUGGGUUGACAAGAGGACUAGUUAAAAAGUAUUUGAUUAGUACAGCGUCGGCAAUGAACACAACGUCACGCGGCCGUAUGGGCCGAAAUGAUGGUACGGAAGGGAUGGAUUAUGGCCCACUUGACAGAAUCGUUGGACGGAAUAUUUGGUCUCCUCUGGUCCAUCGCAAUCUUGCAACUUGCAAAAAAGUAGUGCGCUACGGUUCUUCUCCUCUCCUACACCUUGUUUGAUUGGUUUUCUCGGCGAAUUAUCUCGCUUGGCUCCCCAUUUUCUCUGAUUUGGAGUGGGGGGAGGUUAGAUUUGAUUUGGAAAAGCAAGUGCUGCGGUCGGAAAAAUCUCACUUGCUUCUCAGCGAUGGAUUUGUUCUUGCUUCUUUUCGCAGUGAUCUCUGUGCCGCUCCUCCCUCACAAAGCACAAUUUGUACAAAAGAAAAAGUAGCAAAGAAAAAAUUCCAGCUUGUGGUGGAUGAAUCGAUCGAGGUCCACCUUCAGGAUUUGACGAGCAUGACGAUGCAGCGGCGGAAGAUGUAGAACCUCGACCUUUGCUCCUUCAAGAGCGAGUAGAGUCGGCCGCAUUUCAAGCCACCGCCGCCGCUCGACGAGCGCGGCUCGCCCAGUCGCCUCACGGCAUGGCCCGGCUUGUUGAGGCACUGACACAUGAUCUCGAUCGACGAUCGAAUUGCUUGUAUAUAUAGCGAGCGAAUGGAUGGAUCACUGCACUUCCCAAAUCAAAGCUCAAAAUGACAGAAAAUGGGGAAUAAUUCGCCGAGCAAACCAAUCAAACAAGGUGUCGGCGAGGAGCGAAGAACCGUAGAGCACUACUUUUUUGCAAGUUGCAAGAUUGCGAUGGACCAACAGAACGGGGCCGGAGGCCUCCUUUUAUAUCUAUAGCCGUCGGAGAGGGAGAGAGGAGACCAAAUAUUCCGACUCAUCCGGAUUGUUCCGCUAAUCCAAACCGGAUUGGAUCUUUCGAAACGACGCGAUUUUUUCUUCUCUCGAUGUUUUCGGCAUCGUGAGGAUAUGAGCGGCACCUCUCCGAUCAAUUCCAGCAGCUCCACCGCCAUCGCAUUCCGCGCUCGUCUUCCUUCUCGGAUCUGCCCAAGCUCCGGAGCAUCCAAUCCUCCACAGCGAUUUCUCCCGCGACAAGCUCCUCAACGCCUCUACGGCAAGUGCGGCUGCCUGGACGAGGCAUGCAGGGUCUUCGAUGGCAUCCUCCACAAGGACGUCUACACGUGGACGGCCAUGAUUGGCGCCUAACAAAAUGCCCGAAAAGAACGCCGUGACAUGGAACGCGAUGAUCACAACAUAUGCCAAGGCAGGGCAUCUGGAAGAAGAAAAGAAUCUCUUCGAUCGAAUGCCACACUGGACGUUGAUCUCGUGGAACAUCAUGUUUGUUGCUUACGCCACUGAUCUUGAUCUAAACGGUGUACUUGAUCUGCUCGAUUCCAUGCAGGAGAGAAACGUAUUUACGUGGAACACGAUGAUCACUGCAUUUGCCCAAGAAGGGCAGUUGUAGGCCGCAAAGUCAAUAUUCCGGAUUGGAAUCUCGCUACCUGGACGACAAUGCUGCAGGCCUAUGCCCAAAUGGGGCACCUCUCCGACGCUUGGGCGGUGUUCCGGUCCAUGCCGGAGCAUGACGUGAUAUGCUGGAUCGCAAUUCUCCUUGCGAACUACCAAAACAGCGACCUCGCGAGCACGGAAGCUGUGUUUGAUUCCAUGCCGGACUGGAGUGCUGCUUCGUGCACGGUGAUGCUCCAGGCCCUUUCCGACACUGCAGCAAGUGACGUCUACGAUUCGAUUACGGACAAGAAUGUGGUGGCGGGGACGGUCAUGAUCACCGCGUAUUCCCAGGCGGGAAUGUCUACCCACGCCCAGGAGGUUUUCGAUUCCAUGGAAGAGAAAAACGUGCUGACGUGGAGCUCUCUCAUGUCUGCAUAUGCCCAGGCCGGGCAGAUGCCUCAAGCGGAGAAUCUCUUUGAGCAUGUGCCAGAACGGAACUUGGUGUCGUGUUAAACGAUGAUAUCCGGGUUCGUGAAGAAUGGAAACUUAGAGAAUGAAAGAUUCUGUUUUGAUUCCAUGCCGGAGCACACGCAGGCAGCGUGGAACGCAAAGGCGACAGCAUAUACCAUUUCCGGGCAUCUGGAAGACGCUAAGGAAACGUUCGACGACAUGCCCGAUCGAGACCAAAUCUCCUACACGGCCAUGUUCCAAUCUUACGCGCAAAACGGAAACAUAGGCGAAGGGAUAUCGCUCGUCUACGCAAUGCCGCACAGAGACGUCAAGACCUGGAAUGCGAUAAUGGCAGCACUUGCCCAGAAGGGGUAUCUGGAUCGCGCGCGCCGGGUGUUCGACGCCAUGCCAGAAUCCAACGGAGUCUCGUGGAGCGCCAUAGUCUCCUGCUACGCGCAGACGGGCCGCGGGGAGUCAGGUGUCCGGAUGUUUGCGGCAAUGGCGGCAGAGGGAUUCCCCGCAGACCAGGUGGCUUGCCUGAGCGGGCUCGUCGCUCAAACCCACAUCGGCCGCGUCCCGCAGUGCUGCGCCUUCUUCCGCUCCAUGCAACAGGACUUCGGGGUGGCGCCGCUGGCGGAGCACUUGCAUGGUGGACUUGCUGGGAAAGGCCGGGCAUCCGCUGCUGGCGGCUCCAUGCAGACGUCGGGCGGGCCGGCGGCGCGGCCAGGAAUCUCUUCGCCGUGGACACUCGAGAUUCCGGAUCUCACGUGUUGCUGUCCAACAUGUGUGCUUAUCCAAGUCUACUGCCCGAUAUUUCCACGCCUUUAGUACUCUUCAAUGUGCGAUUUUAUUUAGAUUAACUUAGGUAUAUUCGCGGAUACUUUCGGGGGUGUUUAUAUACCUAAAGAAAGCAGAGCUGUGGAAAAAGGAUGUCUAGUUUUUUGCGAGGAUCUCUCCCGUUUCGUCUCGCUGCAAAUUCCGGAGCGCUGCAAGAAACUGAGAGGAGGAGGAACUGCAAGCCUGGGGUCGCGCGCUGCUCCUUCUCCUCCUACGCGAGCGGCGGGACGGCGGAUCUGUACGCGAUGCUGGGCGUGAGCUGCGGCGCCGACGCCUCGGAGAUCAAGAGCAGCUACCGCAAGCUCGCGCUGCGCUACCACCCCGACGUCUGCCCGGCCGGCGACCGCGAGCAAUGCUCCCGGAUGUUCAUGCGCGUCCAGGAGGCGUACCAGGUGCUGUGCGACCCGGAGCAGCGCGCGGGCUACGAUCUGGCGCUGGUGCGCGGAUCGGGAUCGUUCCAGCGGCGAUCAUCCAGCAGCGUGUCAUGGCGAGCGCAGGUCGAUGCGAUCAGGAGGCGACGCCCGAAGAGUGGAUCGUGGGCCGCGACGAUGCGGACAAACUCGCGCCGCUAGAGCAAUGUGUUGUAAACUCUUCCAAAACUAAUCCAAUCCAAAUCAUCCCCGUCAACUUUUGUUUGAAAAGUUCAAGGGGACAGGACACCGAUCUCGUCACAGCAGCACUCUGGAGUCGUCCGAAUCCAAUUUUGCUGGCGAUGGGGCCCCGCGCCGGCUGCUUUUGGAGCUCGCCCCCGUGGCUCUGGCCUGCCUCAGCAUCUCCACCGCCUCUUUCAUCGUCGGGCGAUCGCCCGGCCUUUCCCUGGUGCAGAAGAGCGCCACUCGCAGCAGCAGUGACAUCUCGCUCCUGUCACCCUCGCUCGCGAAUUCCCACACCGAGGGAUCCGCCAGUACCUCUAUGCUGCCGCAUUUCUUUGCCCAAGACACUAUAUUCUGGCCCCUUUCCAAGAACAGCGGGUCCACCGGCGACUUUCCUACCAAAAGCUCCAGAAUGACGACGCCAAAGCUGUAGACGUCGCUCUUCUCGUUUACUCGCAGCGUGUAGGCAUACUCUGCGCAAAGCCAGCCUGAGAAACGUGCGGAAACACGCAAAACACGUACCAGGAGCAAUGUAGCCGUAUGAUCCGGCGAUGGACGACAUGGAGCCCGUCUCCACUUGCUUCUCCACGAGCUUGGCGAGGCCAAAGUCCGCGAUCCUGGCUUUCACCUCGAUGUCGAGGAGGAUGUUGUUGGACUUGAUGUCCCUGUGGAUGAUCGCCGGCGAGCAGUCGUGGUGCAAGUACGCCAGGCCCUGCGCCGUCCCGAGAGCGAUCUCGUAGCGCGUUUGCCACGAGAGGCUCUCGCUGGGCCGCCUGUAGAGCAUGUCUCCCAGGCUCCCGUUCGCCAUGAACUCGUACACCAGGAGGUCGCAGUCGUCGAGCUUGAAGAAGGCGUGGAGCUUGACGAUGUUCCGGUGCUUCACCUGGCCAGCGGUCUUAAGCUCGCGCAGGGAGCUUCGGUCGUCCACUGCGCUUCUUUCACCCUGUACGAGCUGGAGCUUCUUCACGGCGAACUCCAGUCCGGAUGGCAGCUUUGCUUUGUAGACCGUCCCAUAGGCACCCUGUCCGAUGACGAAGCGCGAGUGGAAGUUGUCCGUCGCGGCGACCAAAGCCUCGUACGUGAUCCCUCUCCUACGAUCGCCGAAGACGAGGCUGGUCUGCCUGUGCGCCGACGCUCUCUUCCACGCGUAGCAGCAUGCCACGAUCGCCACCGAGGCUAUGAGCGCGCUGCCGACGAUGAUUCCCACAAGUCCUGCCGUCGGUAUUCUCCUCGUCGUCCCGCUACCGCUCUCGUCACUGGCGCAAGGACUCAAAGCUUGCGAGCCGCACAAGCCACUGUUUCCCAGAAAGGAGCUGUUGAAUCUUUGCUGCGAUCGCCAUCCAUCCGGGAGACGUCCGCUCAACUGGUUGAAAGAAACGUUAAGAACCUCCAAGCUUCUCAGCUGGUCGAGCUGGGACGGUAUCACUCCGGUGAGCAUGUUGUAGGACAGAUCCAGCGUUUGCAGCCUCGUCAACGCAGCCAACUGAGGUGGAAUCGUGCCGGCGAGCUCAUUUCCGUGAAGAUCCAGAACGCUCAGAGACUCUAACGAGCCAAGCUGGACGGGAAUCCGACCCUGUAACCUGUUCUUCGCCACGUCCAAAGUUAUCAAGUUCCGCAGUUCCAUCCAGAAAGUUGGCAGCUCUCCCUCGAGCGCAUUUCCGUGAAGGAUGAGGUCCAUCAGCCCGGUAAGGUUGCUGAUGCCUGUCGGUAUCGCUCCACUGAGAUUGUUGCGGCUGAGAUCUAGCUGGAGGAGCUCCGAGAGCCGACCGACGGUAGGAAAGAUGGAGCCAGUGAGAUGGUUCCCCGACGCGUUGAAAAGCGUGAGCUCCUCGAGGUGCUGGAGAGAGUCUGGAAUGGAGCCAGAGAGCUGGUUGUCAUGCACCAGAAGCGCCGUCAGCCUGAAGCACUUGCCGAGCUCCUCCGGGAUGGAUCCGUUGAAACUGUUGUCCGAGACGUCCAUGUAAGUCAAGUUGGUAUUGUCGCCAAACUCGCGGGGGAUAGCUCCCGAGAGGCGGUUCGUGCCGAGGAAAAUCCGCCGCAAGCUCUUGCAACCCGCCAGGCCCACAGGGAUCCCCCCGGUCAACCUGUUUCUCUCGAGGCUGAUCGCGGACAGGGAACCGCUCGAGCAAAGUCCGGGAGGAAUGGUUCCUUCGAGGCUGUUGUUUGCAGAGUGUACGAUUGUCAGCAUCCCGUUAUCUCCGAGUCUUUGCGGAAGUGGUCCACUGAGAUCGUUGCUUUGCAAGUAGAGGCGCUGCCAAGCCAUGUCCCCGAAUCGCGAAGGAAUUCCUCCGGUCAAGUAGUUCUCCGACAAGUCCAUGACGGACAGCUGAGAGCAGUUGCCCAACUCCUCGGGGAUGCUUCCACUGAGCUGGUUGGUUCUCGCUUGGAAGGUUUCUAAGCUCGUCAGCUGCCCGAAUUCUCUGGGGAUCCCACCACCAAGACCAUUCUCCGAGAUGUCCACGUACACUAGCUUCUCCAGCCCCGACAAACUCCGAGGGAUUUCUCCAGACAAGUGAUUCAUGUUGAGUACGAGGGCGGUCAAGUUCUUGCAGUCACCGAGCUCGGCUGGAAUGCUGCCAGAAAAACCAUUGUCCGCGAGCUGUAGAACCGACAAGCUGGCCAGCUUUCCAAGCUCCGGAGGAAUCCGGCCCUCGAGCUGGUUUGUGUUGACGUCGAUAUGUUCCAGGCGGGUGCAGUUGGCAAGCUCGGCGGGGAGCUCUCCCGAGAAGCCAUUAUCAAACAGCUGGAGCGACUGGAGCCUGGUUAAGUUCCCGAGCUCUCGCGGUAUGAUCCCGGACAAGUUGUUCGUCCCGAGGAGCAAAGUCGAGAGGUUGGCACACCUUCCAAGGCUGGGAGGAAUGCCGCCGGUGAACUGGUUCUCCUGGAGGAUGAGCACGUCGAGAUGGACCAGGCUGCCGAUCCCAGCGGGGAUCUCCCCGUUCAUCUUGUUGCUAAAGAGAUGCAAGUUCUGGAGCAUCGUGAGCCUGCCAAUGUCCGGGGGGAUCUCUCCAGUGAGAUUGUUCUGGUAGAGCACGAGAAUCUCCAGCUUCACCAUCCUUGUGAUCGAGGAAGGGAUGCCCCCCUCGAGCUGGUUGACACUCAAGUCGAUGAACGUCAUGUUUGCGCAGUUCCCGAGCUCCGGAGGGAUCCUCCCGGUGAUGUGAGUGUUGUUGCUGAGAUCGAGCUGCUCGAGGCUGGCGCACUGCCCAAUCUCGCCGGGAAUCUCACCGUCGAGCCAAUUGUAUGACAUGUUGAGGAAGCGCAAGCUCCUGAGCCUGCCCAGCGCCGGAGAGAUGCUUCCCGCAAGAUUCAACCCCUGGAUCGUCACGUUGAGCACAGCAUCGUUGUCGCGGCUUCGGCCAUCGCUGGCGCAGGUCACGCCGAUCCACUGGGAGCAGGGCCGGGACUCAUUCCAGCUCGCCAGGCUGCCAUUCCUGUCGAUAAUCGCAGCUUUCACCUCGAGCAGCGCCUGGAGAUCGCUCGACAGCGCCGCCGCGAGCCCUGGCAGCAAUGCCAGCGCUGCCGCUGCCGCUAGGGCUAGGGCUACAAAGAUUUCGAUCCAAGAAGAAUACCUGGAUUGCCCUCGACGAGACAUCCACAUUGCUCCCGGGGUCGCUGGUACCACGGCUACGAUAGGCGAAUAUCAUCGCCUUGCCCAUCUCGCUGACGAUUAAACUAUUGGAAGGCGGCACGGGAAAGCGAUAGAAUGGGGAAAUUUCGUCAACGCGGGCGGGCGCAAACACACUUUGAAGAAAAACUCACUCCUCUGACCCUUAUAGAACCCUAUGUCCCGCCACGUCAGCACAAAGAUAUUCGGCGAAUAAUUUCCGCGAUAAAGAUAAUGUUUAUGGUUAUGGUAAUGGUAAUGGCGGAGUAAAUAACCAAGAGUUCCGUUACCCAGGCCCACGACGAAAGUUACGAGCUCCAACAGCCUGCGUCUAUAAAAACUGGCCACUUUUUUUUUUUCUUGGUUCUCUAUUUUUCUCGCUCGUUUACUUUGCUCCAUGGAGCUUGCAAACAUCUCUGAGCUUCGGCUGCUGCUACUGCUGCUUCUCAUGGCUUCUUGCUUCGCGACCGACGAUCCGGCGACGGUGGGCGACAAUGAUCUCGUCGUCGGACGGGUUUUCUGCGACCGAUGCAUCGAGGGCCGCUUCUCCGAGUACGCAAUCUUCGUCAAAGGUAAGUCGUAGUCCUGGAUGAUCUUGUGAGAACUCUUGCUCAAUAGAACUUACCACUGGCGAUGGUUUGAUCGCGUUCCAGGUGCCAAAGUCGCACUCGAAUGCACGCAGCAAGACGGGGGGAUUCACGUCGUCGAGGCAGUGACGGACUCGGCCGGAGCGUUCGCCAUUCCGGUGGACGAGCCCGGCUCUUCGUGCGCCGUGAAGCUGCUGAGCACUCCCACUCCGCAGUGCAACAUCGCGGCCAAGCACGCACAGACGCUCAACGCCAACAUGCGCACCAAGGACAACGUUAUCUACGUCGGCCUUCUCAGCUUCCGGCCCGAGGAGCCGCUUCCCAUCUGUUCCCAAAGGGCUUACUACGCUUCGCCGCCGCUGCCACCCGAGUACUGCUACGCACCACCGGCAUACUCUUCUCCAGCACCUGUAAGUCGACCGCCAUCACCCCCUCCAGCGUACUCCUCUCCAGCACCGAUAAGCCGACCACCAUCGCCACCUCCAGCGUACUCUUCACCAGCACCGAUAAGUCGACCGUCAUCGCCACCUCCGUAUGCUUCUCCAGCGCCGAUAAGUCGACCACCAUCGCCACCACCGUACUCUUCCCCAGCACCAGUUAGUCGGCCACCGUCGCCACCACCUUACUCGUCUCCAGCACCAGUCAGUCGGCCACCAUCGCCACCACCUUACUCAUCCUCAGCACCGCCAGCUUACUCCUCCCCAGCACCUAUAAGUCGACCACCAUCGCCGCCACUGUACUCUUCUCCCGCUCCUAUAGUCCGCUCCUCCCCGCCCCCGCUCUAUUCCUCUCCAGCUCCCACAACUCGUGCUUCACCGCCACCUUUGUACUCUUCCCCGGCUCCGACUGUCCGCUCGUCUCCGCCGCCCCUCUAUGGCUCGCCUGGUCCAAUUGUUCGGGGACCCCCGCCUCCACUCUACUCAUCUCCAGCUCCAACCGCUCGACCAUCGCCACCACCACUGUAUGGUUCACCGGCUCCAACAGUAAGACCCGCGCCACCGCCAGUUUAUUCCUCUCCGGCACCGAUUGCUCGAGCUUCACCGCCCCCGUACUAAAGCAUCGAACGAGAUAGAUCGAUAGUCUGAUUAGCAAAAAAGAGUUAAGAGCAUAAAAUGAAGAACAGAACUUUGUUACCUAUAGAAGUCGAAUAAACUUUUUUUUGUCUUGACGCGAGAAAAUGUCUGUUCACAAGCUUCGAAAGCCACAGCGCGACACAGCUGUUCCACGAGAUAUAGUAGCCUAGUAGAAGAAGAAAAUUUGGAAUUUUACAGAGCACAAGGACUAGACUCUGAUCCGCAAUUGUGGAGGAGACUGUAGCACCACCACAACUAUAUAGCUGCUAAAACUUUGGAACACACCUGGGAACCCGAACCGUUAUCCAACACACUCUUUUUUUUUCCUUCUCCUGCCAGCUCUUUCAAAAGAUGGAAGUCCCUCAAAACAGCCUUCUCCUGAAACUCCUGGUUGUGGCCUGGUACGUCCGCACCAUGAGGCCAACACCUAUGCCAACGCCCAGGCACAUCCCCAGGCCGAUACCAACGCCUACCCUGACACCCGCGUUAAACCAGGACAUCUCCCCGUCCUCGUUCUCCCCAUACCCGGUUGCCUCGGGCAGGAAGAACUUGCUCAGCCCAAGUUCUUGGUUCUCAUUACUUGCUUGAAUCGUGUCACUCGCAUCAACCUGGAGCCACCGCAAAAGGGAAAAAAAAAGCAAACUUUUAGAAUAGAAAGCGAAGAAAAGUCUGGCCUACCAACCUCAGAGUCCGUAGCAGCUCUGUUCUGUGAGCGAUGACACUCCUCGUCCUCUGGAAUGGCAUCAAGCAUUCCACACCGGGUCACUCUCCGCCGGGCCAUGAGAUGAACAGUCCGAGUCAAGAUUAUCGGCGAUCCAGAGUGGGAGCCCACAACGCAGAUCUCCAUUGUCGGUGGUGUGAGGAAGUACUCGUGGCGGCCACGAGUGAAAACACAUCCAGCUGAUCCCAAAGCACAGUUGCACUCCAUAUUCCAUACAACGCUUCCGGCCUUGUUGGUGGACGAGGACUUCUUCUCCACCUUCUGGAGCACGCCACUGAGAAGAACUUCCUCCUUAUCGACAACCUCAAAACCAACAGACCCCACAACAUGCAAGUGGUCCGUGCCGACGUAAGUCACCUCCACGGACUCGGUGUCCAUCCUGUCCCUCCGGAGAGCCAGAGAAAUCUCCUCGGAGGGAGGAAUCCGGGCUCCAUUCACCUCCAGGUACUUGUCGAUCGUCCGCGAGGGGAAGCGCACCACCAGGGAGUCGGGAUUCCCAUCCAGCGGGCAGUAGCUCACUCGCACAUAGAGAACCUUGACCUCGAGCGAGCCCCCCCCUCCGAAAUAGCUGCCGCCCUCCAUCUUGCUGCUGCCAUGGGCCUCCGGUUCCUCCGCGGUGAGAUUCAUGACUCGUGCGCCUCACAAUCGGGGCGACUCCUGCUGCAUUUCACCGCCAAAACCGAGAGAAAUUUCCCUCUCUCUCUCUCGAUUCUUCCCACAGACCUCCAGCCCGCGAUUACACCCGGACUGCUGCCGAGCAUGCAAGAGGAGAUCCGGGCGGGGCGGAUGCAAGCACAGGCAGCCGCAACGAUCCAAACCCUAGGCGCAGCGCAACAAACAAAGCUCCUUCCCGCAAACAAACCAUGGAGGCAGCCCUAAUUUCAUGUAAGGCAGCAGGGCCUCAAUAAAUUGGAAACUCUGGGGACCGGCCAAACCGGUGGCUACCACGCGACCGCCACCGGCACGUGGACCUGAUGUCCUGCCGCCGUUUGUAUGGUCCGCCCAUGGCCGUGGGACCUGACCAUUAGAUUUUCUCUGGCCGCCAAUCCCAGCCGCCCAUGUAAGAUUCCUUUCUCAUUUCUAUUCUACUUCAUCCUAAGCCUGGCUUUUUUUAAUCCUCGAGAGCAUUGACAUGGUUUUGGUAUGUGCCUCGUGAGCUGACGUUUUACGUUGCCAAGCUUCUCGUGAAGAAAGAAAAAGAAAAAGAAAAAGAAAAAAAAAAAAAGCGUUCAAGGUCACAAGCUCAAGCUUGUUAUUUGAGGCUAAGGAGGAAUUUUUCCGGAUGCUCCACCAUAUCCUUCCAUUCAUUGCAAAACCUUGCGAUGGUUGCUCCGUCAAUAACCCUGUGAUCGGCACCCAACGUCACCUACGCAAUUGCCAAGGUGAGAGUUUGAUCCUCCUCAGAAGCUUCGAAACGAAGAAACUUACGCUCAUAAUCGAGGCUGGAUAGACUCGGCCCUCCUCAUUGAACCUCGGAAGCUUUUGGAUUCUUCCCACGGCGAGGAUGGCCGCCUCCGGGAGAUUGAGCACGGGAGAGCCGAACUUGCCACCAAUGGCUCCAAAGUUUGACACGGUUAUUGUGCCAUUGCUCACGUCGUCUGGGGUCAGCUUGUUGGCCGCGGCCAGCUUUGAGAGCCUCGUUAUCUCGUCAGCAAUCUGUUGAUUUGCAUCAAAGAAGCGAGAGAAAAGCUGUUUAGUCGCUCGUAAAGAACACAAGUUUGGAGUUUUACUACCUCUUCCAGUGAAAGCUUCUGGACUUGCUUGAUGUUUGGCACUGCCAGGCCAGAAUCAGUAGCCAUAGCGACUCCAACAUUGUGCCAUGCUGCAUAAAGGAUAACAGACAAAGCGCGAAGAUCAGAUAAAAAAAACUUGAGAAGACACUUACUCUUGCAGCGGAUUUCCGACGCGUCCUGGUUGAUGUUGCUGUUGAGUAUGGGGUACCUGACCAGCGUCAGCGAGAGUGCUUUGAUAAGAAACGGGAGGAAAGUAAGCUUGGAGCGAGUUUGUAAUUGAAGAUGAGCUCUUAAUUUGACAAGAGCAUCCACAUUGAUCUCCUCCAUGUAAUGAAAGUGAGGAACGGCUGCCGCGGCAGCCAUGGUUUUGGCCAUAAUCCGCCUGAAACCUCUGAAAAGAAAAGAAAACAACAUAAAGGACUGGUUUCUGGAAAGCGAAAAAAACAUCAACCUGACUGGGAUGACUUUAUCGUCUUGCAUCUGCUCGACUCUAUCUGCCGAAAUCUUGUCAAAGUCGGUAAUUUCGUCCGCUGGGACCGUUUCACCAGUCUCGGCGGGUGUCGAGCUGAUGCCGGUGAUAUCGCUUUCCACAGCCUCUUUUACCGAAGCGAUUUUCAAGACGUCGUCUUUGAGUACUCUCCCCGCUUCGCCACUGCCAGCAACGUCCUUCAACGCAAUGCCAAGCUGCCUUGCCAAGCUGCGAACCGCCGGUGUUGCAAGAACUUCUCGUUCUCGCUGGGAAUUCUCCUUCUCUUCGAGCUUGAAACUUCCAUCUCCAUCCGAGAUCAUUAUCUCCAGCAGAGUCUCUCCGACCCGAAAAAAACCAAAGAAGCAAGGUGUUAGCUUCGACUGGGCUAAGUAGUAUCUCUAUUACCUUAACCACGGCUCCGGGCAUAAAGUUCACUUUUGACACCUUUCCUUUAUAUCUGCUCGUGAUUUCGAUGGUGGCCUUGUCACUUUGGACCUCACAAAGCGGCUGGAAUUCCUCCACACAUUCUCCCUGCGAUCCUUUCAGACACCGAUUUUUAGUCGAGAACCAAAAGCCUAUACUAUGAGCAUACCUCCUUCACGAACCAUCUCACAAGCUCGCAAUCUACAAUGCCCUCGCCUGUUUGAGCCAGAGGCACCUCCACAAUGCCUGCCUCAGACACCACGUUCGCUGCUUCCCCGCUCAUCGUGCACAAAAAAUUCCGUUGCCUCUACAGUCCAACUUAAAAAUCAGAUUUUCCAGGACAAGGAAAAUCAACCACGAACAAAGAAGCAAACUUACAGGUGGAAAGAAUUUCUCAGCCCUUUGCUGCACAAACUGGAUCAAAGAAAGAAAGAAUGAAUGCCUCAGAUCAAAGAAGAAACCAGAGAGCACAGCAGAAACUUACAAUUUUUGGAAGCUGAUUUACACCAUCAAGUCUGGAUUGACAAGCAGCUGAAGAUCUCAGCAGCGCACGGCCUCUGAGCGCUCCAAGCACGCACAAGCGCCUCAUCUCUUGAGCUGAUUUUCUCGCGCAGCUUUGCUCGCCAAUCCCCAAAUCCAACAAUCCACCUACCUGUGCCUGUUCUCGUCAAGUCCAUUCACAAUUGGACAUGCGGUUUCGUCAGGCAGCAUCCGUGACACAAACUAAGAGGGGCAAAUUCAACCUGUGUGUAAAAAAAAUCAAAAAAUGAAAGAAAAAGCAUUACCGGAUGGGAUGAUAAUCCGGUUUCGUCAGGAUAGAAACAAGCUGACACGGAGCUUCGACCCUCACACGCCAUUUGCGGAGGCGACGAGGAAGCUGGGAAUCGAGCCUGAGACAGUUGUAUACUUCACACCAGGUAGGAUAGAUUCCAUUAACUCUUUUCAAAGAGACUAAAACACAGCUCAAACCUUGGCUAGGAACUUGCUUCUCAUCAUGUAUGCCCAUUCGAGGCCUGGACAGUAGUGGAGCGGGGGAUUGAAUCGUCCGUCAUCGAUAUCGUCCGGGAGAAAAGCCCCGUUUUUCAAGAGAAAACGCAUCGCCUUCUUGUUGCGUUCUUUCGCAGCGUUGUGGAGUGGAGUCCCUGUGAAUGGAAAAAUCGAAUCAGAGCCUUUUUUCUUGUAUGUUUUUGGUGGAAAGAGAGAAGUCGAAACUCACAUCCACAGCCACCUCCUUUGGUCCGAGCGUCGAUGUUUGCUCCUCUCUCGAGAAGCUCAUCGAUCACAGAUAGGUGGCCCCCAGCCGCAGCCAAGUGAAGAGGUGUAGUUCCCGGCGCCUUUGGGCCAAAAGAUGGCUCGUUUGGAUCAGCUCCAUUCUCCAAAAGUCGCUUCACCUGUAGAACAACAGAGAAAACGUUGUGAAGGAAAGCACGAAAGAGAGGAAUUCUGUAGAAAGUACCUCGUCAAGGUCACCCAUACGUGCCGCAACGUGAAGAUUAGUCCACCCACGAUCGUCUCUACUACAGACCUUGUCAUUCGCCUCUCGGAAAGAAAGCCGCUUGAGCAAAUUCCUCUUCUCACUGAUUUUCAUUGCCACUUGAAAGAGUGUUCCUAGAGAUCACUCUCUCCAGUCGAGCUACUGAUUGUCCGCUUGGAUUGUUGGCACAAAGAUGGGAUUUUUAGCGAGAGGUUCCAGGGCCAGGGACGCACGUAGAGUCGGAACGGGGCGAAUCUAGACUCCUGAACUCACCGAAAGAUUGCAUGGCGCCUCCUCCAAGCGCGCAACGAAAAUGUGCUCCAAACCCUAGAAAGCAAUAGCCACGAUUCCGAAUCAGUAUUGAUUCCGGAUCAAAUUUGAUACCCAAUCAAACAUUGAGCAGUCAGUUCUAGAUCUUUCUAAUUCUCAUUGUUGAAAAAAAUUAUACAACCUUUCAGCUGAGAAAUUUGUAUCUUUUCGAAAAACUGAUCUUUAGUUUCCGAUAAUCUUUGCUUUAAAAGUCCACACCUGCGCGUUUGAAAACGCGGCGCGCAGUCGGGGCCGUCCACGUGUACCGGAUGAUAGUGGCUGCGGACGGCCCCGAUUCGAAGCGGCUUUCUUUGUUUCUUUUGUCAGUGCCAGCGUUGACUGGCUAUGGCGGACUCUAGACUGCGUGCGAUUUUGUCAAGCGCUUGAGCUCUGCCGACCAAGGCUAGCCUAGGGCUUCGCCAGGCCUAUUGCCGAUCUCGAUGCUGCUGCGCCUGAUGCGAUCUACGAUCGUCGGGAGGAGGAUCACUGAGCAAUGUGCUUGAGACUGCGGCGCCGGGUAAGAUUAAUCCCUCUCUCUCCUCGGAUUCGUGACAAGAUACUCCCCUCUAGGCGCCAGCAGAUUCCUCCGCGGGCAAAGGCAAGAGCAAGCAAUCCAAACGAAGGGUUCGCCAUGGAUUCUCUUGCGUCAAAGGGAGGGCCAGCCAUCCCAUGGAAGAUUUCUAUGUCGCCGAGUACCAGAUUCACAGGAACCACGAGCUGGGCUUGUUUGCCAUCUACGACGGGCACCUCGGCCACAGUGUUCCCGAUUACUUGAAGCGCAAUCUCUUCAACAACAUUCUCAAAGAGGUGACGAAAACAAAUCCAUCUUGGUUUCACUCUCGCUGAUCGAUUGAUCGCUACAAAACAGCCAGGAUUCUUUACAAACCCGAGCAAUGCAAUAAGGAAGGCGUACCAGGAGACGGAUCAAACCAUACUAGCCAAGGCCCCGGAGCUGGGCUCCGGCGGCUCUACUGCAGUGACUGCAAUUUUGGUAGACGGAUUAAGAUUACUGGUGGCCAACAUAGGUGACUCCCGCGCCGUGCUGAGCGAGGCCGGCAAGGCUCGCCAGCUCUCGGUCGAUCACGAGCCCAGCAACGCCUCGGAGCACAAGAACAUCCGGGACAGAGGCGGCUUUGUUCUCAACAUGCCAGGUUCUGUAAAACUUGUCUUUGUUCUUCCCGUCGAGCUUGGCAAAGUGAUUCUCUUCCUACUUCCAGGCGAUGUGCCUCGCGUUGAUGGCCAAUUGGCCGUAGCUCGAGCUUUCGGCGACAAGAACCUCAAGGAUCACUUGAGCGCGGAGCCGGACAUUGUCGACGAGCAGCUCUCUCCAGACGCGGAGUUUUUGAUACUCGCGAGUGACGGGCUCUGGAAGGUAAUCAAGAGUCGGAUUUUGCAUCGUUUGUUCACGCGCUACAUGCAGGUGAUGAAGAACCAACACGCUGUGGAUUUGAUAAAGAAGAUCAAGAACCCAAAAAACGCCGCGAAGAGGUUGACGGACGAGGCCCUGGCGCUCAAGAGCAUGGACGAUAUUUCGUGUGUCGUUGUUCGUUUUGUUUGAAAAGAUUGAUUGUAAGUAAGGAGAAAGGAAAGCAAGAAGAAAGGUUAACUCACUGUAUAAUAUAAACCCAUGAUUCUUCCCGCUUGGAAUUCAUCUCUGGGGUUUCUCUCCAGGCGGGCCAUGGAAGGAAGGGGGAAAGUUUGCAAGCGGUGCAAGACAACAUUCGAUCCCGCGCUCAACACGUCGGGAUCGUGUCGGUUCCACAGCGCCAUGUUUGUGUGCCGCCGACACGACGAUCAAAAGAGGCAAGAGAACAAAAACUAGAGUAGGAAAAUCAGUGAAAUUAAGAGCGCCAUGCCAGGUACUACGAAUUGGGGCCCGACGAGCCGCCCUACGACGCCAAAUUCUACGAUUGCUGCGGCGCGGAGGAUCCGCAUGCCCCCGGGUGCAAAACCCUCCCCCACAUUUCUUACGACGACAAAGAUCAUUGAAAAUUUAGGGCUCUUAGUAGAGAGGGAUAUUCUGUCUACACCUGACAGAAUAUCCAUUGGGCUUGAGAGGGAUAUUCUGUCUUGUGUGUCUGUUGGCUUGCUCCUUGCACUGACAGGUGGCACUACCAGCGAGUGGCACAUCACCUUCAAAGCAAACCUUUUGGUUUUUCUAGGGCUCUUUUUAAGCUCUCUCCCUCGGCCUGGUAGAAGCCGGAUCGAGGAGCACUCGUGCAUUUUUAUUUCCAUUCGAUUCAUUCAUAUAUACAUCGCUGAUUCGAUCAUCCUUGAUCCCUCCAAUCUUCUUCCUCUCUUGAUUUUCCCUCUCUCGCGAAUUCGGCGAUGGCGGCCAGCUCGUGGGUGGAUCGCAUGCGCGGCGUGUAUGGAAUGCCGCUGCUGGCGCUGAUCGGCGUGGGGUUUUGGGUGCAGGGAUUCCGGUGCUUCCCGUGGCUGGCCGUGAAUUACCAUCUCAAGGACGAUCUCCAGCUGAAUCCGGGAAUGCUCCAGUUCUUGCAGCAAAGCACCAAUUUGCCAUUUCUUGCCAAGCCACUCUACGGCGUUGUCUCCGACGCCAUCUACAUCAAUGGAGCUCACCGGGUUCCAUAUCUUAUCUUCGCAGGUACGUAGCUUUUUCGAUUCCUUUCUCCUUUCUACGUCUUCUUUGAUUCUCUUGCGCGUUUUCUUUGAUGUACUGUUCUUAGAUCUUCUUCCAAGUUUCUUCUAGAUAGAUUCUUGGUCGGUGUUACCAAUUGUUCUUAGAAAACUUACAUUCUUUCACUCCUUGCAGGCCUGAUACAACUUCUCUCGUGGGGAAGUAUCGCGUUUCUCCCCAAAGUCGCCAACUCGAUCGGCCUCCUCGCGCUCUACCUCACUCUCAGCAACUUUGGCGUCGCCAUUGGCGAGGUCGCAAACGAUGCUCUGGUGGCCGAGUGUGGCAAGCGACGGGGGAGCUCCCCAGGUGAGCUCCAGUCCUUCUCAAUGGUCGCCUUUUCGCUGGGGGCAACGCUGGGGAACUUGCUGGCCGGGGUAGCACUGAGUAAGCUCCAAACCACGACCAUUUUCUCGAUGUUCCUCAUGGUGGUGACGCUCAACUUUGCCGUCUCAUACUCCGUCAGCGAGAAGUCGGUGGUUGCAUCGCAGGAGGUCGCUGCAAAGGGUGACAACGACAAGGAUCAGCCAAGGAAACAUAAACGCAAAAGCAUGACACAACAGGCUGUGGAGAUGGCAAACCUGGUGAAAAGGCCGGACAUACUCCGUCCACUUCUCUGGUUCACCUUGUCGGUCACCAUCAUCCCUUCGUUGCUCGGCAGCGUCUUCUACUAUCAAACCCAGGUUCUCCGCGUCGACUCGUUCUACCUCGGCCUCUCCAAGGCCGUGGCUCAGCUCGGGCUUCUUUUGGCUUCUAUAUCCUUCAACAGCUACCUCAAGGACGUUCCACUCGCGAAGCUGGCCGCAAGCAUCCAGAUCGUUCUAGCUUCCUCGAUGCUCCUCGAUGUUCUCCUCGUCAAGCGGCUCAACUCGCGGCUGCUGGGCGUGACGGACGAGUACUUCGUGCUCUUGUUCGCGGGACUAGUUGAAGCCAUAGGCCUGUUCAAGGCUCUUCCCUUCGCGGUGUUGCUGGGAAAGAUUUGUCCACCGGGAGCCGAGGGGACGCUCAUGGCUGUCUUCUCGGCCUGCCUGUGCCUGGCCAACCUGGCGAGCGGAUACUUUGGAGUUGCUCUCGCUGCGCUACUCGGUAUUUCUUCACAGAACUUCGACUACUUGGCGCUGGGGAUUGUUGUAGAGGCUGCAUUCACGCUCGUGCCGGUGUUCUUCACUGGCGCCUUGCAACAACAACGGCUGAAGAAAGAAGAAUAGACUCUGGAACUGAGAAGUGUAAAUACUGAGAUGGAAAAUAAGUAAAUUACCUAUCAUACAAGUACAAGUUCCAUUGCUCACUGGAGCAUUUGCGUCCAAUCGUGAGGCCUCCACUGCUGCAGGAACUCUUUCACAGCAGUCGCUUGAUGAUCGAAUGACGCGUGCUUUGCCUUCUGGUGCAUCGUCUCCUGGGGAAGCUUGAGCAUGCCGAUGAGAACGUUCCGACCAAAGUUGCUGUCGAAGUCCUCUUCGUUGUCAAUCACAUGGCAAUAGCCGCCUUCCAGCCCGAACUCCACAUGAAAGUACGGAAAGUUCUUUGGUAUGGAGGAGCGAAGCCCCUUGCCUCUGGUGUCUAUAAGCUUCUUCGCGUUGUGCUGGCUCCAUUCAUCUUCGGCCUCGUCGAUUGCCUGGUCAUUACACGGUGUCAGUGAAGUUAUUCCGGCAGUGAUCGACGUAAGGACUUGCCUUUUUGAAGUAAAGCGGACCUUGCUGGAGUACGUUGGGAGGAACGGGGAUGCAUUCGACCAGACAAUGCCUACGUUGCUGCGAGAGAUUCAUGGCCGUUUCUAGAAAUAUCACAUCCUUCUCUUGCUCCUUGAACAUCUUGAGCAGGCACUUUUUGAAGUUCCGAAUCUCAUCCCAAACAUCGUCAUCAACGUUCCUUGUAGAGCCUUCGUGCUAUUAAAUCAAACGCGAGCUUUAGCAUUUAGUGAAAACUUUGAAAGAAAGAGCUUACUUGCGAAGGAACAAUGUAGCAAUGUCCCGGUACAAGUGAAGACGUAGGAGGAAGCAUCAAGUACGUGAAGUUGCCAAUCGCGAUUGUUAGAUGUUUCGGCCUCGACGAGUUCUCAAAGCAAUACCGGCAGCGCUCGUUCUGUGUCUGAAUACGAUUGUACUGAGAGACCGCGCUGUUCUUGGCCUUCGUCAUUCCCUUCCUUGCCGACUUUUUCUUAUAAGCAUCGCUUUCGAUUCCAACGUCGUCGUACUCAUCGUCGGCUUGAUACCUCUCCCUCGAGCGAUAAAUCUUUGACGCAAGGAACGCAUCGGAAUCCUUGUUUUCUUGAGCAUGUCUCUGGAUGGCAGUGAUUUUCUUCAUCGCCGCAUCAUCGCCGCCAGCCGAAGUUUUAACCUUGUCACCAUCGGAAUCUUUGUUUUGCGCACGUCUCUGGAUUGCAGCUAUCUUCCUCUUCACAGGAUCAUCAUCAGCUGUCGGUUGAUCGACCUCUGGUCCCUUGCUUUCGCGAGCACGUCCUUGGAUUGCCGCAUCAUGACCUGAUCUGUCAUAGUUUGAAUCCUUGCUUUCGCGAACACGUCUCUGAAUGGUAGCGACCUUGUUCUUUACAGCAUCAUCACCACCACCACUCGAUUGAUCCGGCUUGUCUCUAUCCGUCUUCUCCUGCAUCUGUUUAAACUUCUCCAUAAAGCUCCCAUCGUUCUCAAAUAUGUUGUAAGACGCUGCCGCGGCCUUGAGGACUGCAGAGUCCUCGGAGCGCAUGGUAUCCCUCCUCUGUGACUUCCAUUUGAGUGAUCCAUCCACCCUCGGAGCUCUCAUCCGAGAACCUUCCCUCGCAGACCGAGAAUCUUCUUUCGCAGGCUCAUCCUCUGAGCGUCCUGCCUCCUGUUCCUGCUCGUACUUACGUUUUCUGUCGCGAAUAGCAUGGAGAUGUGCGUUGGAAUGUGCCGCUCGCUUGUUACUUACGCGAGAGAACGCAUCAAACGAUCCCCAUCGAUCACUGAUAACCUGUAUCCCCUCAAUUCAUAAGCCACGAGAAGUAAAGAGGAAAAUGGAAGAGAAACACUUACAUCUGGAAGACUCGCUCCUUCUCGUGCCGCACGCUCUUGAGCACGCUUUAAUCCCUUGAGAAGCCAACUAGCACCCCCAUCGCCGACACCUCCGGGAACUCGUCGAGCUACAUGUUCUUCUUCUGGAAAUCCUUCGCCGCCAUCUUUCCAGUGUGGAUUGAGCUCCUUUGAAUUCGAGGGAGGUUUCUGUUCAUUUCAUCCAUGCGUGAUUGUGAGGAAACGAAAACGGGACUAGAAUUUCUAACCUCGUCGCGCUCUGCCUUGGAAGGAGCAAUCUCUUCCUUGGGGACGGCUCGUUGAGGCCUGCUUGGCGCCACUGACAUCCAUUCCAAGCCAGCGUUCUUCCGCUUGGCAAGCAUCUCUGGAUCAUCGGCAUCGGCCGUCUUUCCCUCGCGAUCCACAUCCUGUAAGAGAGCUCGGCGGAGUGAGCGCUAGAAUAAUCUCGAUCUACGAGCUUACAUUUGAAGACGACGCGACAGAAUCCCUGGAGACGAAUCGCACCGCGCCAAGCAUCCUGUGCCUCUCUGGGCAAAUGCUUCUAGGGUUCUUCACGGAGAAUAUUCUCAACAAUUCCAUAGUCCGCAUUAGGGCUCUUAGGCGCGAUGGAGUGUUUGCAGGCCGCGAGCUCGUUCCCGCUUGGAUUUCGGUAAGCCAGAUGCAAUUGCCUUCUCUCAGCACCUAAUCUUCCGGUCCAGGAAGGCGCCCAUGGCAGAGCAGAUCGAGAGCCCGGAUUACUGCUCCUCGAGCCUUAGCAGUGGAGAGCAGGCCGGAUUUCUUUCUUCUAGAGCUCGCAGAGAAGCUCGAGGACAGCGUGAGCAAGGGUGCUGGGGAGGAGAGGAGGAGCAAUCUCGUCUUGAAAGCCUUGCGGGAUGGAUCGGCCGAGGUCGCGGUUACGUGUAAGUGGCCUAGCAGCAAAGACGAAGCUUACAGGUUCACAAACGUGAAGUUUCUCAAGGAUUCAGAGAUCCAGCCGCUGAUAAUUGGUGGAGAUGAAGUGGAGAGCUUGAGCUUUGAGGGCAUGGAAGACGAAGAAGGUGAGAGCAUCAGGCUGGUCUUCGUGGAUGGGAUCCUUUCUCCGGAAUUGUCGAAAGUCGAAGGAGUUCCUCCUGAAGUUUACGUUGGAAGUAUACUCGCUGCUCCGGAUGAGAAGCUCCAGAAGUACGUCGUCCCCAGGAUCUCACAGGCGUCAACCUUGAUAGACAAGGAUGCUUUCGUCUCCCUGAAUGGAAUUGGAGCGCUGGAUCUGGGUGUGGUGCUGGUUCCCAAGGACUUGAAGCUGGAGAAGCCUAUCCACGUUGUCUACUAUUCGACUCCUCGCAAGAACUUGAAGAACCAGCUUGAACCUCAAGUCGUGUCAAUGACAAAUCCAAGGCUGCUCGUGGUGGCCUCCGAAGGAGCAACGGUCCAUCUGGUUGAGGAGUUCAGAGGAGGAACAGAGGAGAGCUCUCACUGGACGAAUUCCGUGUGUGAGAUUGUUAUCGAGUCGGGAGCUUCAGUGUCGCACGACUUGAUACAAACUCAAGGGCGAUCUUCUGUGAGCAUGAAAAAGACUUAUGUCUCACAGGUAAAUUCUCUUUCUCUUGCCGCUAUUCUGGAUGAUUGACAUUGGGCCUUCCAGGAGAAAGCUAGUAGCUACAAGUGCGUGGACGUGGAACUUGGGAGCAAGCUAAGCAGGCACAAUCUCCACAUUGAGCAGCUUGGUUCCGACACUAAAACGGAGAUGUUAACGUUCCUGUUGUGCGGUCGUGAUCAGGUGCAAGACCUCCAUAGCCGGUUGAUACUGAACCAUCCCAGAGGCUAUGCAAGACAACUCCAGAAGUGCAUUGUCAUGAACUCAACAGGACAUGGUGUGUUUGAUGGCAACAUUCGCGUAAACAGGUAAAAUACUCUUUUUUUCUUUAUUUUCUGCUUUUGCUUACGCACCAAGUCUGGAUUCAUAGGGAUGCGCAGCAAACUGAUGCUGGCCAGUUGAGUAGAUCCCUGUUACUUGCUCCGAGAGCUACAGUGAAUGCGAAGCCGAGCCUUCAGAUAAAUGCCGAUGAUGUCAAGUGCACCCACGGUGUAGCCAUCAGUGACUUGGAUGAAGACCAACUGUUUUACUUCCGAGCUCGUGGGAUAGAUGCUCAAACAGCACGCAGUGCGUUAGUGUUCUCCUUUGGAGCUGAAGUGAUUGAGAAGCUGGAGAGUAAGACGAUGCAGAAAAGCGUGGAAGAGUUGCUUAAAAGUUUGCUGCUUCGUGAAGGAGCUAUAUGAUUCGCUAUAAGACCAGAAAUUUGCUUGGUUGUUUUAAUGUGAAAAGCUUAGCUUGGUGGCAAAUGGUUCAGAUAGGAUAAAUACUAUAGGAUCAGUUCAGAUCUACUGCGAUUGCCCCAAUCGAUGCCGUCAUUUCUAAAAUAUUUUGGGCCGGCCCAGAAGGUGGGCAUGACACCUGUUUGUUUGUUGUGCGCCCUAGGAGGUGUAAAACUCUUCUUUCCUCCGCCCUUGCAGCCGCAAAACUUCUACCGCGGAUGAGGACACCAGCACCAGAGGUGGAGGCCCAGGAGCUUGUGCCGCUCGAGUACGGGGAUGUUCACGGUUCAUGCAAGGUUUAGCAUCAUCCCCUGUUGCCAGUGUAUCACAAGGUAUACUCCCAGGAAUUCCUCUGGGACUAGACAGCUCCACACGGCUCAAUCGGUCAGUAUUGCUCUAGCCCACAAAUCAUUCUUCACAGUGAGCAGGACAUGCUGCAAGAGAGCUCACAUCCUAGAUCAAUGAAUGGGCACUCCAGAAGUGGCCAAUUUUCCAGUGGUCAGGUGGAGCAGGGCCGAAUCAUUCAAUCUCUUUGGCUCCAGCGUGCUUCUCAUGGGAUCUUCCAGGGCAUUCUUUGCAAGCAUGCAGCGCAUGGUGCAUGGCAAUCCACACAAUAUCAAUGGUGUUGAAGGAAUUUGUUCAAGGGAUUGGCAUGCGGUGUUCAAAUGGAUUAACAUGGUCACAUGCAUUAGUGGAUACUGUGGAGGAGCUGAAUGGUUCCAAGAUUCCUAAGUUAGUUUUUUCUUAUUUUACUUAUGUCUUUCUUGAAGCUGUUCCAAGUGUAUCUCACAAUCUUGAGAAGAGUAAAAACUCUUUCUUCAUUUCUCGUGCAACUCUUCUAGAUUGCAUCAGCAGGCUUGAAAGCUUUGCAUCAUCCCGGUCCAUUCCAGUUCUAGAAGUUCCAGGCAAAGCCAAGAAGAUUAGGCAGUAGUGUCUUAGAUCAAGAAAUUUGCUAGGUUGAUGGAAUUUCAGUUCUGCUUGGGAAGGCUCC